GCUCCUUGAAGAAAAAGGGUGGGAGGAUGGAAAAACAAAGGCAACUUGGGACGGAUGGAACACACACCAUUGAGAAAACUAAGAAUUGAUCUUGCAAUUAUUGAAACGUUCCAAUUAACUUGAAGAGAAGCACGCCGGUUGGAAAAGAAUUGUCAUGAAAAUCUUGAUAAACAAGAAGGAUUAGCACUCGCAUAGACAUAUGAGAACACUGCUUAGGAAAAAGGUAUGGAAUCAACACUUGACAUCGAAGCAACUCGAAUACCACAACCAAAACAAAACAAAAGAUUUGGCUUGCCGAAUAAGCUGGAAACAAAUACAUAACCCCGUCAUGAAUUUGUUGGAAGGAUAAUUCUAUAACUACUUGAAUUCCCACCUAGGAACUUCCGCAAUUUUCUGGUUAUGCAAUUUGGUCCAACGUAUACAAGGAGCAAAAAUGAUCACACAACUCCUAGUAGAAUUCUAUGCUCCAAAUGUAUCACAUUCGUCAACACAUAACCAAUAAAACCUCGCAAACUCGUGUACCUCGGACCUUAUAAAAACAACAACUAUACUAGUCAUGGCAGUACUCUCGAACGCACUCUCCAGUACUGGGUUGUGUCAAGGUUAUCUCACCACUAAGAGUAUAGAAGCGUUUUCGAUGUCGGCGUCCUCUGGAAUUCUAGAACCGAAAUGAUAGAGAAUGUGACAAGAACCCCUUGGAGAUCAACUCCUCAGAAUAAGUCAAAUCAGACAGGAGGUUGACACGACUCUGUCGUAUCUACUUUUCCAAACACUCCUGCUCUUGUUUUGGACUCUAAUUUGCAUGAUUUGAAUGAAACUAAGCCGAACUGACGCUAUUUUCAGCAGAACUGCCAUGGUGUUGUUUUUGUGCAGAAAUAGAAGCUCUCGGAAUUGGACGAAACUUUUUGGAAUUUUUUAUGGAAUAAAUAAAAAAUACUGGAGAAAAGAUCCACUGGAGGGGGCCACCCAGUGCCCAUGAGGCACCUGUUGGGGAACGUAGGAUGCAAUUUCAAAAAAAUUCCUACGAUCACGCAAGAUCUAUCUAGGAGAUGCAUAACAACGAGAGGGGGAGAGUGUGCCCACGUACCCUCGUAGACCGAAAGCGGAAGCGUUAGGUUAACGCGGUUAUGUAGUCGAACGUCUUCGUGAUCCAACCGAUCAAGCACCGAACGUACGACAGCUCCGAGUUCAACACACAUUCAGCUCGAUGACGUCCCUCGAACUCUUGAUCCAGCAAAGUGUCGAGGGAGAUUUUCGUCAGCAUGACGGUGUGGUGACGGUGAUGGUAAUGUGAUGCGCGUAGGGCUUCAUCUAAGCACUACGACAAUAUGACCGCAGGAGUAAACUAUGGAGGGGGCACCGCACACAGCUAAGAGAACAAUUGAUGUGCUUUGGGGUGCCCCUCGCCCCCGUAUAUAAAGGAGGAGGGUAGGAGGCCGGCCCUAGGGGCGCGCCCAAGGGGGGGGGGGGGGGUGACCGACUAGGACUCCUAGUCCUAAUCGGCCCCCUUUCCUUUCUNNNNNNNNNNNNNNNNNNNNNNNNNNNNNNNNNNNNNNNNNNNNNNNNNNNNNNNNNNNNNNNNNNNNNNNNNNNNNNNNNNNNNNNNNNNNNNNNNNNNNNNNNNNNNNNNNNNNNNNNNNNNNNNNNNNNNNNNNNNNNNNNNNNNNNNNNNNNNNNNNNNNNNNNNNNNNNNNNNNNNNNNNNNNNNNNNNNNNNNNNNNNNNNNNNNNNNNNNNNNNNNNNNNNNNNNNNNNNNNNNNNNNNNNNNNNNNNNNNNNNNNNNNNNNNNNNNNNNNNNNNNNNNNNNNNNNNNNNNNNNNNNNNNNNNNNNNNNNNNNNNNNNNNNNNNNNNNNNNNNUUCCCAUAACCCCUCGGUACUCCGAAAAAUAUCUGAAAUGCUCCAAAACUAUUCCGGUGUCUGAAUACCAUCGUCCAAUAUAUCAAUCUUUAUCUCUCGACCAUUUCGAGACUCCUCGUCAUGUCCGUGAUCUCAUCCGGGACUCCGAACAAUCUUCGGUCACCAAAACACAUAACUCGCAAUACAAAUCAUCAUCGAACGUUAAGCGUGCAAACACUACGGGUUCGAGAACUAUGUAGACAUGACCAAGACACAUCUCCAAUCAAUAACCAACAUCGGAACCUGGAUGCUCAUAUUGGUUCCUACAUAUUCUAUGAAGAUCUUUAUCAAUCAAACCGCAAUGACAACAUACGUCAUUCCCUUUGUCAUCGGUAUGUUACUUGCCCGAGAUGCGAUCGUCGGUAUCUUCAUACCUAGUUCAAUCUCAUUACCGGCAAAUCUCUUUACUUGUUCCGUAAUGCAGCAUCCUAUAACGAACUCAUUAGUCACAUCGCUUGCAAUGCUUAUCAUGAUGUGCAUUACCGAGAGGGCCUAGAGAUACCUCUCUGAUACUCAGAGUGACAAAUCCAAAUCUUGAUCUAUGCCAACCCAACAAACACCUUCGGAGACACCUGUAGAGCAUCUUUAUAAUCACCCAGUUACAUUGUGACGUUUGAUAGCACACGAGGUGUUCCUCUGGUAUUCGGGAGUUGCAUAAUCUCAUAGUCAAAGGAAUAUGUAUAAGUCAUGAAGAAAGCAAUAGCAAUAAAACUUAACGAUCAUUAUGCUAAGCUAACGGAUGGGUCUUGUCCAUCACAUCAUUCUCCUAAUGAUGUGAUCUCGUUCAUCAAAUGACAACACAUGUCUAUGGUCAAGAAACUUUAACCAUCUUUGAUUAAUGAGCUAGUCAAGUAGAGGCAUACUAGGGACACUUUGUUUUGUCUAUCUAUUCACACAUGUAUCAAGUUUUCGGUUAAUACAAUUCUAGCAUGAAUAAUAAACAUUUAUCAUGAUAUAAGGAAAUAUAAAUAACAACUUUAUUAUUGCAUCUAGGGCAUAUUUCCUUCAGUCUCCCACUUGCACUAGAGUCAAUAAUCUAGAUUACACUGUAAUGAUUCUAACACCCAUGGAGUCUUGGUGCUGAUCAUGUUUUGCUUGUGGAAGAGGCUUAGUCAACAGGUCUGCAACAUUGAAAUCCGUAUGUAUUUUGCAAAUCUCUAUGUCUCCCUCCUUGACUUGAUCGCGGAUGGAGUUGAAGCAUCUCUUGAUGUGUUUGGUUCUCUUGUGAAAUCUGGAUUCCUUUGCUAAGGCAAUUGCUCCAGUAUUGUCACAAAAAGAUUUUCAUUGGACCCGAUGCACUAAGUAUUACACCUAGAUCGGAUAUGAACUCCUUCAUUUGCUACUUCUGAAGCAGCUAAGUACUCCGCUUCACACGUAGAUCCCGCCACUACGCUUUGGUUGGAACUGCACCAACUGACAGCUCCACCAUUCAAUAUAAAUACGUAUCCGGUUUGCGACUUAGAGUCAUCCGGAUCUGUGUCAAAGCUAGCAUCGACGUAACCAUUUACGACGAGCUCUUUUUCACCUCCAUAAAUGAGAAACAUAUCCUUAGUCCUUUUCAGGUAUUUCAGGAUGUUCUUUACCGCUGUCCAGUGAUCCACUCCUAGAUUACUUUGGUACCUCCCUGCUAAACUUAUAGCAAGGCACACAUCAGGUCUGGUACACAACAUUGCAUACAUGAUAGAACCUAUGGCUGAGGCAUAGGGAAUGACUUUCAUUUUAUCUCUAUCUUCUGAAGUGGUCGGUCAUUGAGUCUGACUCAACUUCACACCUUGUAACACAUGCAAGAACCCUUUCUUUGACUGAUCCAUCUUGAACUUCUUAAAAACUUUAUCAAGGUAUGAGCUUUGUGAAAGUCCAAUUAAGUGUCUUGAUCUAUCUCUAUAGAUCUUGAUGCCCAAUAUAUAAGCAGCUUCAGCGAGGUCUUUCAUUGAAAAAUUCUUAUUCAAGUAUCCUUUUAUGCUAUCCAGAAAUUCUAUAUCAUUUCCAAUCAACAAUAUGUCAUCCACAUAUAAUAUUAGAAAUGCUAGAGAGCUCCCACUCACUUUCUUGUAAAUACAGGCUUCUCCAAAAGUAUCUAUAAAACCAUAUGCUUUGAUCACACUCUCAAAGCAUAUAUUCCAACUCCGAGAGGCUUGCACCAGUCCAUAAAUGGAUCGCUAGAGCUUGCACACUUUGUUAGCACCUUUAGGAUCGACAAAACCUUCUGGUUGCAUCAUAUACAACUCUUCUUUAAGAAAUCCAUUAAGGAAUGCAGUUUUGACAUCCAUUUGCCAAAUUUCAUGAUCAUAAAAUGCGACAAUUGCUAACAUGAUUUGGACAGACUUAAGCAUCGCUACAGGUGAGAAGGUCUCAUCAUAGUCAACUCCUUGAACUUGUCAAAAACCUUUCGCAACAAGUCCAGAUUUUUAGACAUUAACAUUACCAUCAGCGUCAGUCUUCUUCUUGAAGAUCCAUUUAAUUUCUAUGGCUUGCCGAUCAUCGGGCAAGUCAACCAAAGUCCAUACUUUGUUCUCAUACAUGGAUCCCAUCUCAGAUUUCAUGGCCUCAAGCCAUUUCGCAGAAUCUAGGCUCAUCAUCGCUUCCUCAUAGUUCGUAGGUUCAUCAUGGUCUAGUAACAUGAAUUCCAGAACAGGAUUACCGUACCACUCUAGUGAGGAACGUACUCUGGUUGACCUACGAGGUUUGGUAGUAACUUGAUCUUAAGUUUCAUGAUCAUCAUCAUUAGCUUCCUCACUAAUUGGUGUAGGCAUCACUGGAACUGAUUUCUGUGAUGAACUACUUUCAAAUUCGAGAGAAGGUACAACUACCUCAUCCAGUUCUACUUUCCUCCCACUCACUUAUUUGAGAGAAACUCCUUCUCUAAAAAGGAUCCAUUCUUAGCAACAAAUAUCUUGCCUUUGGAUCUGUGAUAGAAGGUGUACCCAACAGUUUCUUUUGGGUAUCCUAUGAAGACGCACUUCUCCAAUUUGGGUUCGAGCUUAUUAGGCCGAAGCUUUUUCACAUAAGCAUCGCAACCCUAAACUUUAAGAAACGAUAGUUUCAGUUUCUUGCCAAACCAAAGUUCAUAUGGUGUCGUCUCAACGGAUUUAGAUGGUGCCCUUUUAAUGUGAAUGCAUCUGUCUCUAAUGCAUAACCCCAAAACGAUAGUGGUAAAUCGGUAAGAGACAUCAUAGAUCGCACCAUAUCUAAUAAAGUACGGUUACGACAUUCGGACACACCAUUACGCUGUGGUGUUCCAGGUGGCGUGAGUUGCGAAACUAUUCCACAUUGUUCUAAAUGAAGACCAAACUCGUAACUCAAAUAUUCGCCUCCGCGUUAGAUCGUAGAACAUUUAUUUUCUUGUUAUGAUGAUUUUCCACUUCACUCUAAAAUUCUUUGAACUUUUCAAAUGUUUCAGACUUAUGUUUCAUCAAUUAGAUAUACCUAUAUCUGCUCAAAUCAUCUAUGAAGGUCAGAAAAUAAUGAUACCCACCGCGAGCCUCAACACUCAUCGGAGCGCAUACAUCAGUAUGUAUUAUUUCCAAUAAGUCAGUGGCUCGCUCCAUUGUUCUGGAGGACAGAGUUUUAGUCAUCUUGCCCAUGAGGCAUGGUUCGCAAGCAUCAAGUGAUUCAUAAUCAAGUGUGUCGCGGGAUAUCCACAGCCAACUAUGGGACCGGGAGGCCCCUUGCUAGUUCGGUAGGGGGGAUGUUGCAUUGGACAAAGAGCAGACUAGCGUAUGGCAGGACGACAGAGAGAACACAAGAAAUUUACCAAGGUUCGGGCCGCCACGAGGCGUAAAAACCUACUCCUGCUUUGGUGGAUUGAUGGUGGAAUGGAGGUGGUGAAGCAUAGUACACUUGUCCGGUAGGGGUUGCCCUAGGGCAGUAGCUACUACGCGCGUACGGGGGUGUGGGUUCGUCAACUUUCCAAUCCUUUCUACGGUUGCCAUGGGCCUCCUUUUAUAGAUCAAGGGGUCACCACAAUGGCAAAGUAGUCAUUAUGCACUAAUAUGAUAGCAAACAGUGCUAUCAUACCUAACUCUGUGGGCUGACAGGGCACAUUAAAUGAGCUGCUUAGUGUCACAUCACUGGUUGCCCGGCAAGGCUUGCCGGGCUAUCUUGCCAUCUCCGUGUCUGUACUCUUGACACGUCGCAGGACAUGUGUCAUCUGUGGGUUUCUUCUGUAGGAAAUGGAUGCCAUGUGGCGAAUGGCUGCCACUUAAUCAUCGUGCGGCUUGACACUGCAUUGAUGGACGACAUGGGUCGUGCUGGAGUGGUUGGUGAGGUGGUUUUGCCUCCGUGAGCCCCGGCAGGCCCUGCCAGGGUGCCCGAGGCGCUUGCUUCCGGGGGUGGCCUUGCCCCUUGCCAGGCUCGCCUGUCCGGCAAGGGAGGCCUUGCUCUUGGCGAUAUCUUGCUUCUCUGGCUUGGCCUUAGUCUCUCUGAGCUGCAUGCUGGUUCUUUGAAUCUCUUGGUUUCUUGUAUCCUGGCUUGGGUUGGCACAUCAACCUUGCUCUUGCACCUGUGCACAGUCUGGGCAACAGACCCAGGGUUUGUUGCACCGACAGAAGCCCCCUGGCCUACCCCGAACGCGCUGCUGAGCGUCGUCGGGGUAGGGCCUAAUAGGUGCACAAGUAGAGUUGCUGAAGGGGUCGGCCCCUUGAGGUCUUCAUUGCUUCUUCAUCAGCCUUGGUUCCGGGCCACUAUCCGGUUGCCCUGCGCGUGGUGUAAAGGCAAUAGUGGUGGGGCCGCUCCAAUGAUGGCCCGUGAAUGACUUUAACACACGGGGUACAAACUGCCAAUUCACUCUUCUCACCAUGCCCUUAUCCUUAGCCACAUAUGCAACAUGCAUCGCGCGGGGUAGGUAACGGAGGCGCGUUGUGCGGGAGAGCGUCAAGGCGAGGGCCUGGUUGUCUUGAAUUGGCGGAGGAGGACGGUGGCCGCCUGUUGAUGGAGCAGCCCUCCUCCCCGUCCUGCCUAUAAAAGGGAGGGGUGGAGGAGGGUGGAGUCACCCAUCUUCACAUUCCUCCUCUUCUUAUCUUUCACUUAUGCUGGCUAUGUCAAAGAGAGGGGCCUGGGGCCAGCCCGCAGGCUCCUGCUUGGGAUCUCCCUUGGAUUUGAGAGGAAGAUUCGGGUGGCGCAGUGCCGACGCCAGGAGUGGCAACCCCAGUGUCAUGGAAUUGUCACGGCAGCUGUCCUUAGCGUCAGGACUUAGUCGCGAGGCCAACGCAUCUAUGUGGUAACUUGAGAGGGGUUGAGCGGGACGAGAGACGCGAUGUUUUACCCAGGUUCAGCCCCUCACGGUGGAGGUAAAAGCCUACAUCCUGCUUCAUUGAUAUUGAUGAUGAUGAUCACAGUUACAAGAGGGAUCUAUCUUGAGAGCUAUUGUCUAAACCUAACUUGUCCAACCUGUGGAACUUGUGAAUCUUGUCCCCCUUGGGGUGCCCUGCCCCUCCUUAUAUAUGUUGAAGGGGCGGGUUACAUGUGGAGUCCAACUCGGACUUUAACUUUAAACUAUUUUGACUUCCCUUCCUGGGCUUCUUAACGUCUGCCGGUUUAACAUUGGUCUGCCGGUUUAACAUUGUUCUGCCAGUUUAACAUUGUUCUGCCGGUUUAACAUUGUCUGCCGGUUUAACACCAGCCGGGUCAUACCGUCUGUCUUAGCCAUCUGUCUUGACUCUCUCUCUUAACUCUCCGCCGGUUUACCAUCCGCCGGUUUACCAAGUCCCAAUCGGUUUAACAUUCUAGCCGGGUCAUACCAUGGGGUAUAUCCCCGACACCCAGUGUGCUUGCCGCCGGGUCGCCCGUGGCCUUGACUUCAGUGGGAGGGGACGCGAGCGACGUCGUGUCGUGGUUUGAAGUAGGCGUGGCAUGUGGUAGUCGAUCGCUCCCCAUGCUUCUUCCCUUCACGACACUGGGGAGGAGUCAUGGGAGAGAUCCAUCGCUGAUAGGUGUGAAUCUGGCUCCUCCGGGGCGUCGUCCUUCUGUCGCGCAGGAAGGCUCCCUACUCUCACAUGCAUCUUCGGGACGUGCAGUGACUUCUCACGCCAGGGCUCCUGGGGACGACCAUGCACUACAAAAAAAUACACUUCCGUGAUGAUACGUGUUUGUCAUAGUAGGUCACGUUUUCUAUCAUGCAUGUACAUCCAUGACAAUUUUAUGACAGAAUCAAGAUAGUCAUACCUGUGCUGUCGUAGAAGUGUUCCAUGACAUUACCAAAAUUAUCAUCACAGAAGUGUCCACUUCCAUGACGAUAAAUCACGCGUCACAGAAGUGCUUUCGUCAAGGGUGACCGACACAUGGCAUCCCAUAACGGAACGCCGUUAAGCUAUCGGGUCUGGUUUUGGAUCCGAUAACCCGUUAACAGCCCCGACCAAUGGGGAUUUUCCACGUGUAAAAUCAUCAUUGGUUGGAGGGAACACGUGUCGGCUCGCCGUUGGGACAUAUGUCAUCCACUCAUUGGACCCAAAGCGCCUAUGAUACAUCGACACAUGGCACGGCCCAACAGAGGCCCAUUCCUGUGAAAAGGCUGGCCCAUUUGACUUGGUCAAAAGGUGGCGGCUCGGCCCAUGGCAAGCCUGUUAACGGCCUGUUCGCAUAUAGCCCAUUUACAGCCCGCUAACCCAGGGCUCAUUUACGGCCUAUCCGAAUUAGGCCCAAUAGCGUCAUCUGGGCCGUCCAAUAUAAUUCCAGCCCAUUUUAACUUCCAGCCCAUGUAUGGCCCAUGAUGUCUUUCGGCCCAUAUGAGGCCCUUAGUAAUCCUCGGCCCAUUAACGACCCGUGGUAAAAUUGGCCCGUAAUGAACAGUGUAUCACUUUAUACCCAUUAACGGCCCAUUAUUCCGUUGGGCCGUUUCCAACCCAUGCUAUCUUUCAGCCUUCUCAGGGCCCAUUUAUUCUUGGGCUCAUUUCCAGCAUUUGUUUACUUUCGGCCCGUUACUAUCAUUUUCUGCUUGUGGGCCAAAUUCAGCCCGUGGUUACAGUCAGCCCGUUUAUGGCCCGUUAAUACGUUGGGACGUUUUCAUAGCGUCAUCAAAUAUGGCCAAUUAACGAUGACCCGUUAUGGUCGGCCCAUGAACGGACGAUUUCAACUCUAGCCCAUUUACGGCCAUAAUGCGGUCUGUUAUUGGCCCAUGUUUGGCCAACUGAUCAUACAGCCCGUAGAAGGCCCAUUGAUGAUACGGCCUGUAGAAGGCCCAUUGUGUCAACGGCCCAUAUAAGGCCCAUGGAUUCUACGCCCCGUACAAGGCCCAUUGUUUCUACGGCCCUUAGAAGGCCCAUUGUUUCUACGGCCCGUAGGAGGCCCAUGUUAACUACAGUAAAUAUGUAGCCCAUGGUUAAUGUGGCCUAGUUUAAAAAAAUAGGUUAUUGCGGCCACUAGCAAACCGCGGAAAAAGAACUGCACUGACUACAAGAAAACAAAUAAAUAAGACAAUAAGGAAAUAAAUAGGCAAGCAACUUACGCUAGGCUAUCACGGCUAUUACACAUAUUACAUCCACUGGGCAUCAAAGUUUGCCACCAGUGCAAAUAUAGGGAACAAAGCAGCAUAUAAACGCCGCAGCAAAACAAGUCCAGAACUGAAAUCACUUUAGAAGAGCUCAAGAAACAAUAUCCUGGGUACCCAUAAUCCUGGCAAGAUGCUUAACAAGCUUAUUAACUUUCUCUUGUUUGGCGCUUAAUUCCUCCAGCACUUGCUGUUGCACCAGAAAGUAUGCAUCUGAAUUCUGUAGGGACUUCCUCAGUCCUUCGGCUUCCUGUCGCAUAACAUCUGAUCGAUGUCUUUCAACUUGAAGUUGAGACUCAAGAAGCCGAACUGAUUCAGGCAGCGAGUUCGAAGAGCUGGUGCCAGCAGUAGUAGCCAGUAACUCGAACAUUACAUCAAGACAUGACUUUGGGGUUGUCUCAGUGUCUUCAAUAUAGUUUUUAUCAGCUUUCUUGGAGACCAACAGGGAUGUCUCACUAUCUUGAACCUUAUCUGCAUUACUUCCUGUACCAUUGCAUAACGGGGGUGCUCUUCUCCAUUAUUUUAUCCGCAUUCUAAAAGAGAAACAAACAAACACGUCACAGGUUUACAAUGUAGUAUAUGAAACUCAUUUUGGUAAACCAGUUCAAUAGUAAGGUGCACAGGAUAACAACAUGAAACAAACAUAUAUCUAUGUAGUAUGGUCACUAUAUGGUCUAUAUCAUUCUAGUUUAUAUUGCCAAAUCAAGAUAGAUAUCGUUCGAAUCAUAUCUACUUAAGACAAAAUAGCUUAGACAGAAUAUAAGUGUGGGAAACUACACAGCAAUAACAACACUUUUAAGGUGCAUGGCAUGAUAAUAUAACUGUUUAUUCAAUUGAAACUGAAAUCAACAUAGAGCAAGUUACAAUAGCAAACACAUUAAAGAAACAUGUUUAAAACGUACCUGUUGCGCCAUUGGAGUUUCAAUUGCAUCCUUCAAAUUUGAAAUUAGUUGGUUUGAGUAAAUACAGUGAUGCAAGAGCAAAGUAGUAUGAACCAUAGCUACGGAACCUGACCUGAGAACAAUUCUUCUUCUGCUUUAAGCGUUGACUUGGGGUUCAGAGUGGUGGUCCUCGUGCUUUGGGCACUGCAGUUGCCUUACUAACUGCUCGUGUUUGGGUGCUCUGUGGUGGAGACGGUGCUGUGUCAACGGGAAUUGGGUUACUAUCUGCUGGGGUUGGGGUUAGAAGGGGUGUAGCUGGUUCUCUAUCCAACUGGGUAGGGGUACAAUCUGCGUGAGUCUAGGUUAUGUGUGGUGGGGCUGGUUCUUGGGAAAGUACAACCGUGGUUCUAUCACCAUCGACAGGUAGCACGAUCUUUUCUGAAGACUGUGUUUUUACUCCCACAGAUACUGCCAUCACCCCCUCCAAUUGAAAUGGCUGAUAAACAAGAAAAGUAAUUGAAUGUACAGACAUUGUAAGAUAGACAGGUGCAAUGGAUAGUAGGGAAGAAAACAGGGCAUGAAAUAAUUCACAUUUAUGUUGUCUAACCAAACAGAAUAGCAGGACAUAAUUCCACAUAUAUGAUGGCUAAUUAAACAUGAUAGCAUGACACAAUUUCACAUGUAUGAUGGCUAACUAAACAGGAUAGAAUGACAUACUUCAAAAUAUGAUGACUAUGUAAACAGAUGACAUGAUAUAACUAUACAAUGUGUCUAUUAAAGUGGUUGGCAUGCCAUAAAUCACAAACAUGCCGUCGAUGGAAACAUGAUGGCAUGAUAUAAUUCACGGAUAGAAUGACAUAAUUCAAAUAUGAUGACUAUGUGAAGUGUGAACAGGAUGAGAUGAUAUAAUGUCACAUCCCUAGCUUCAGGCAUUGCUCUAGGUUAGCUUCAUGUGUGCAUCAUGUCUAUAUUUUUGAAACUUGAAUUGAGGAAUAUUGGAAGCCUCAAAACCCUAAAUAAAAGAGGGGCAAAAACCCUAGAAAUCUCAUUCAUUGCUCCAAAAGGCUCUUCUUAAAUGUUUGAUAAUUUUUGGUAAGGGUUCUGGUCCCAACCAAAAUAUUGAACAUUUUUAAGGAUUUAUUUUUGGGACUUUGAAUUUAAAUCAUUAGCUAUUUGAAUUUGAAUUAUAUUCAUAUAAUUAGAAUAUAAUUUCAAAUACCCCUGAAAUAUUUUAUGAGCUUUUGGAAAAGUCCAUCUAGCCAAAUAAAAUUUAUUCAGAGGAGUUUUUGGCAUUGUUUGAAUUUGUUUAAAAUUCAAAACAGUGGCAAAACGAAAUUAAAUAAAACAAAACAGAAGGAAAAAAUAAAAGAGAGAGAGAGAAGGACUUACCUGGCCUCACCCGCGCAGCCCACCAGCCGGCCCAGUUCCCCCCCCCCUGGCCGGCCCAGCCCGCCAGCGCCCUCCCUGUCGUCUUCCUCCUCGGGACAGUAGGACAGAGGCGCGUGGACGGAGCGCGCGCGCACGCGCCGAGCCACCUCCUGCUUGCCGCCCCGCCCCGGAUCGGCUAAGGAUGCCACGCACCCCCUCAGGCCUCUCUCAACUCCCUCCCGUGCUCAUCCCCUUCUCCUGCCCUCCCUCUCGCUCCGCACCUCGGACCCGAGCGGAGCCGCCGCCACCGACGCCGAUUGCCGCAGCCACCGUGCUCCCCACGCCUCACCGACGCCCCAGGGAGCUCCGCCUCGACCCCCUCCUUCCUCCCCACCGACCCACGGCCCUCCGGAAGCCCUGCAACGCCGUCACCAUCGCCGUUCCGUCGCCGGCCACCGAAGCUCCCCUCCGUUGAUUCGCCGGACCCCGUGCCUCCCCUGCCUCGCCAGCAGCACCAGAAGAACCGCGGUGAGCCCUCGACCCGAUUCCCCCUCUCCCCGUGCCCCACCUCCCUCUCUAGCUAGCCCCACCACUUUGCCCGAGAAUCUCUCGCCGCCGGCCAUGGCGUGGCCGUGGCCACAGCCACCCCAGCUCGUAUCCGAGCCCACUAACGUGCUCACCGUGAUCUCAGGAGUCCGUAGCACGCCCCAGCUCCUCCUGCCGUGCUCCCUAACCCCGACCCCGAGAUUGCCCGAACUCCGGCAGCCGCAAAGGAGCUCGCCGCCGGCAGCUCCGGCCACCCCAGCUGCUGUCACUUGCCUCUUUAGAUGCGCCUUUCUCCCAGGAACCCGUAGGAGCAAACCGCACGUCAAAUGGUGCUCCGUAGCGAGCGCACGGUGCACCUCCGCUGUCGGCCGUGGUCGUCGCCAGCGACACUCCGGCGACUGCCGACGUGGCACGCCUAAUUAGCACUAAUGACCUUGUUAAACUAACCCCGUGACACUGACAGUGGGCCCCGUAGCGGGUCAAAGCCCGGGUCAACGCGGGAUUAGCCUCUGAGUCACUGACGUGUGGACCCCACACGUCAGGUUUGACCUGGACCGCCCGUUGACCUGCUGAGGUCAGCAUGAGGUCAUGCUGACACCAUAAUUCAUUUUCUGGAAUUAUUUUUAAUUCUAAAUAUUCAGGAAAUUCCAGAAAAUUGUAUAAACUUCUAAAAUUCAUAGAAAAUUAACCGUAACUCCAAAUUAAAUAAUUUAUAUAUGUAAAAUUAUCAGAAAAAUUCAAGGAAUCCAUCUGUACCAUUUUCAUGCAUGUUAGAACAACUUAUCACUACUAUUUAGGGCAAAUGAAGUGAAUGGCAUUUGAAUAAUCACAUAUGGAGUUUGAAUUUGAAUUUUAUAUUCAAACCAACUUCAUUUAAUCUGUUGCUAGUUGCAUCAGCCCAAAACACAUUCAUUUUGCCAUGUCAUGAUCAUGCAUCAUAUUGUGCAUUGCAUUGAUUGUGUUCCUUUCUGUGUUGCCGGUAUUUGUCCCCUCUCGAUAGACGUGAUACCGAUGAUGUGAUCGUUGACACUGAUGAAGACUCAAUGUUAUCUUCAGAAGUGCCAGGCAAGCAAAACCCCCUUGUUCAUUCCGAUACAAUCCUACUCUCUCGCUCCUGCUCUCUUUUACUGCAUUAGGACAACACCGAUUCAUCUGUUACUUGCUGCGGUAGCUGAACCCCUUUGUCCUUUGCAUGACCUGUCAUUGCCACAGUAAAUAGAUGAAACCCACUAGCAUGAGUAGGAGUUGUUUGAGCCCUGAUGUGCCUACUCAUUCAUGUUUGUUUGUCAUGCCUGCUAUUGCUUAGAGUUGAGUCAGGUCUGAUUCAUCGGGGAUGAAUCAGAGGCGUGUGAACAUGUCCUACUGUGUGUGAGCUAAGUGUGUGAACACGAUUUGGUAAAGGUAGCGGUGAGAGGCCAUGUAGGAGUACAUGGUGGGUUGUCUCAUUGCAGCCGUCCUCAGGAACUGAGUUCUGUGUUUGUGAUCCAUGAUUCAGCUACUACCACGCAUUGGGCCCGAAACCAAUGGACCCUCUCGGCUUCUUGACCACCCUUGUCCUCUGUCCAGGAGUUGCAAGUAGUUUCUGGUGUUUGUAGUAUGCCGGAGGCCGUGCGCAGCGCUGACCGUAGGGGUGGGCUGUGAUGCGGUAGGCACGUGGCCGGGUAAACCGGGCGCCCGUUUGGUGUCACGGAACCCUGUACACAUCGUUUGGGGCUGUGAGCGAAACUCCGGCCGGAUCUCCUCAUGGAUGGAACCCGAAUAGGCGAUAAACCUGGACUAGAGACUUGAGUGCUUAGGUAGGCCGUGGCCGACACCCACGUUGGGCUUCCGCUUGAAGGUUGCCGAGUACAUGUCGUGUAAACGGCGGUAAGUGGUGAAAGCGUGUGUGAAGAAGUACACCCCUGCAGGGUUAACAUCAUCUAUUCGAAUAGCCGUGUCCGCGGUAAAGGACUGCUGGGUUGCUUAUAUCAGUUCAUAGACAAGUGAAAGUGGAUACUCUAAAAUACGCAAGAUAAGCGUGAGUGCUAUGGAUGGCGUUCUCGUAGGGAGACGGGAGCGGAUCCAUAGUGGUGUAUUGAUAUGGUGAAUAUGUGGACUCGUGUGCGCCACCUCAAAAGAGUUACAUUGCAGUCGUAGUUCAGGAUAGCCACCGAGUCAAAGCUGGCUUGCUGCAGUUAAACCCCACCAUCCCCUUUGUUGAUAAUGAUGCAUAUGUAGAUAGUUCUGAUGUAAGUCUUGCUGGGUACAUUUGUACUCACGUUUGCCUAUUUUAUGUUUUUGCAGAGAGACUUCAGUCUCACUAGUAUUUCCGCGUGGUCUUCGACGUUUAGCUUGAUACCUCAGCUACGAUCUUGUGCCCUCGGCAGGAUCUGAUAGAUAGUCAGGCUUCUCAGCCUUUUUCAUUUAUAGAUGUCUGUACUCAGACAUGAUAGCUUCCGCGUGUGCUUUGACUUGUAUGCUCUGAGUGUUGGGUCAUGAGACCCAUGUUUGUAAUAUCUCGCUCCUCGGAGCCUAUUGAAUAAACUACUUGAGUCGUAGAGUCAUUUUGUGAUGCCAUGUUGUAUUGCACAUAUCGAGCAUAUUGUGUGUAUGUUAUUGAAAUGCUUGGUAUGUGUGGGAUCUGACCAUCUAGUUGUUUAUCUUUAGUAGCCUCUCUUACCAGGAAAUGUCUCCUAGUGUUUCCACUGAGCCAUGGUAGCUUGCUACUGCUCCGGAACACUUAGGCUGGCCGGCAUGUGUCCUUCUUCGUUCCUGUGUCUGUCCCUUCGGGGAAAUGUCACGCGAUGAAUACCGGAGCCCUGUUAGCCUGCUACAGCCCGGUUCACCGGAGUCCUGCUAGCCCAGUGCUACAGCCUGGAUUCACUCGCUGAUGACCGACACGUUCGAUGCUGGGUCAUGGAUGCCUGUCCCUGUAAGUUUGUGCCACUUUGGGUUUACGACUAGCCAUGUCAGCCCGGGCUCCUUAUCAUAUGGAUGCUAGCGACACUGUCAUAUACGUGUGCCAAAAGGCGCAAACGGUCCCGGGCAAAGGUAAGGCGACACCCGUGGGAAUACCGUGCGUGAGGCCGCAAAGUGAUAUGAGGUGUUACAUGCUAGAUCGAUGUGGCAUUGAGUCAAGGUAGUGACAGCGUUGGUAUCAGAGCUUGACUGCCUAUAGGAUUACCAAGCCAAACUAGUCGAAGUUGAGUCUAGAAAUUCUUUAGUUAUAUAAGGGAAUUGAUUGUGGGAUGGAACGUAAGGCUCUUUUUACUCCUUAUACCUCAUGGCCUUCUGAUCUGAGUCAUCAUCUUCUCUUCUACGGGGAUUAAGAACUAGGCUAUCUCUUCUUUCUAUUAGGAUCACGUGUUACUAAUCAGUGGACUUAUAAGAUUGUUGGAUUUAAGUCUCAGUUCAGUUCCUACUACUUCCGUAUGUUAAUUGUUGAUCUCGAAACCUUGAUAUUGUGCUUCUGAGUGGUUAUGCCACCAUUUUUGUGAAUGUCUCAAGUCUUUUCUGAGCAUUUACAGCCGUUAUGCUGUCCGAGUCAUCCCAGGUUUCUAAAUAGUCUGAAGCAUUUGCAAAAUCCCUUCCUUCCGUUCCGAUGUUCCUUUGGGCCAGAUUAACCACACUAAUCGGUGAGUUGAGGUACUUUGUUACCUCGGCGUAUAUGUUGGAGAUAUUAUUAUGACCCUGGGUGUCUUAGGGGAUCAUCUAGUAAUUAGCCAUGAUUGUGUUCCCAGUGUGAUGAUUCUGGCCAUCAGUCUCGAAAGCAUCCCGUGAUGCUACUUAGUAGUAGGUAUUCUACUCCUGGGUUCUGAACCCGAGAUUCACUCUACCUACUUCAUGUUGAUAGUAAUUGCUAGUGCCUUUAGGAUAUUAGUAACCUUUGCGAUAGUCCUUGAAGUCCGUGGUAUCUUCUUCUUCCAAAUACCAUGAACUACUUAUGGCAGAUGUUUAUUGGAUCAAAAAAAAUCACAAUUAGAGUACUCUUGAGGAGUUCUCCAUUCAUAAAUCGUGACUCUGCCAGUUCUACCUUUCUGCAUGGGUUAUCCGGAAGAAAUAUGUUGAACUUGGUUCGACAUACUAAUCUAUGCAUCCACAACUCAGAAAGUUAUAUGUUCCUUUGAGUUGUUCUCUUUAGUUGCAUUCUAACCCUCGUCUAUCAAUUGAUAGUCAAGAGUAUGCGUGCGUUCGUUCAUCGAUGCCUAUGACUCUUGUGGUCUGUCAAGCCAUUCUAUUCCGGAAUGACUAGGAGAAACAAACUCCAGUACCUCUUCCAUAUCUAGGAUUGGGUCAAAGUAGUUGUAUUCCGCAGAUCAAAUGCCAAUCCAGCUUUUGGUUCUGCUCUACCUUGGAGUAUUACAUAUUUUAUAUCGAGAUUGUUAUAGGAAUUGCACACCAUCCCAUGAACUCUUGGUACAGUGAUACUUCUUGCCAUCACUGUUCAUUCCUCGGCCCUCGUGUUGAUGCAACCGGAAUACCGACAAAUGAAUUGUGAUGUGUGAAAUCAAUACUGCUAGCAACUCUGUUGCUUGGUAGUUAAAGGAUAAUAAUUUCAUUCUUAGUAUGUUGGUUUUCGAAUCAUCCUUCUAAGACUGAUCGUGCUACCUAGUCCUUAUUUCGGUGCACCCUUCGAUUGAUGAGUUAGGAUCUUGUCAAGUCCUCACUCAUUUGAUCAUAUCGUCUUGCCCUCAACAGCAAGAUUGUUCUCGAGCUUAGUAACAUACCGGUGGUUCGUGACUUUCCAAAUAUCUUCUUGGAGGUGUUACCGGGUUGUCACCUGACCGCUAUGUUGAGUUCGUGGUCAAGUUGGUUUCUUGUGAACCACCUUCUCUCCAAGAAUCGGUGUUAGAUAUCCCUGAGCUAGUUGGUUAAGCUAGACAACAACUUGGAGAGUUGGAAGAUAAAAUCUUGUCUGACUUAGUUCGUUCCAAAGGGAUAUUCUUGUGUAGUGUGUGUUGAAGAAAGAUGAUAUCUUCAUCGAUUGGUCCUUGUGAUCAGUUGCUGGACCUAUUGUCUUAUCAAUCCUUUGAUUUGAGUGUGGGCUAUCGUCAAAUCAAAUCAGUACCAACGAUGCUCGUAAUGUUGUCUUAUUCAUGGUUGAUCCCUCGAGCAUACACCAUUAUAUCUUUUAGGUCUGACCAAUGCUAUCACUUGUUCACUUAACUAUGGAAUUCCUUUUAAAAGGAAACCCAGAUGAAUUGUUGUUGUGCCCAUUGACAACAUCCUUGUCUUCUCCAUAAUUUUGCCGAACAUUAAGCUAGUGUUGGAAACUUUUGAAAGCAUUUGUUCAUGCUAGCUCAUGAAGCAUAUGUUUGGAUGAAGGUAGUGACUUCCUUUCAUUCAUGUGCAUCUGAUGCAAGUUGCCGCCGUGGAUUCGAGAAAGUCAAUGUUGCUUUCUUUGGAAUCAUUCCAAAUCAGUCAUGCACACGUGCGAAGAAUGCUGUGGUUUGAAGACUUGCAACCUUCAAUCUAUAUGUAUCCCUAGCACACCAAGCCACUGAUUGAUUUGUUCAAGGAGAAGGAGUUCCUUCAUAAGAGCUAAUCCGGACUUAUGAAAGAACUUCGAUACCCUCGUUGAUGGUUCCCCCUCCUGAACUCGGUAGUGUUUUAUUAUAAGACUACCACGUGGUCAUGCUUGUCUGGGACAACGUGUUCACAUGUUUGUAGCAGAACCAGCUCAUGUUUUGGAGCUUGCUAUCGUAGUUCAUCUCCCGAGAAUCCCGCAACGUCAUCUCGUCGAUUUGUGUUGCAAACUUUCAUUUUUCUUCCUAAGACUCGAUGAGCCUAGAAUAUCCUAACACCAACCAGAGCUGAAUCUCAGGCAGAUAUGAUGGUUUGGAACAUUUCCCAAGAACUAUAAUAUUGGUCUCGCGAUAACCGAUAAAGUGGAUGUCAUGGCCAACACACCCAGCCGGAAGACCUAUUAUUGUAGUAUCUUGAUUGAAGAAGUUGGCCACCUCCCCAUAGGGAUUUCGUAGGAUUUACUCCCUAGUUGCCCCUAUGGAUUUCUGUGUUCCGAAGUCCGACCUUUUUACUUGAUGUUCUAGAUAUCAAACCAUAUCUAUGAAUGGGAUACGCUAGCACAUCAAGGAGAACAUUAGAAGCGGAGUGCUAAAUGUCUCUCGGUCGAUCAUCCAGAUUUUGUUCCUUGGCUUCGCUAAGGUGUAAUCUGAGAAGGUGUUAUCUUCCUUUGCAUCUGCAUCAUCCAUCAUCAUUCAUCGUGGUAGCAAGUUGUGUUGCCAGGAUCCUUGACACGGAUGUUGGUAAAACCUUGAUGAUUAUGGAAUUGCUCAAGUUCUUGAGAGCACGCACAAGCCCUACGUCUUAUCAUCGGCACUAGCUGGGAUUGCCCCAGAUUUCCUCGGUUAUGCUAUAAUCACUCCAACAGUGAAUUCACCCUCUAUUGUUGGGUUCUUCCCCAGUUACCAGAAUCAUUCCCAGCAUUUGCAUUUUGUUCCCAGCUUGCACCGCCAAUGUGCCAUCCUACCAUGGGUCUCUUCCAUUUCCGGUGAUAAGCAAAAUUCAUCCAUUACGUUGUCUUCAACAAGGUAAUCCACAUCAUCCAAGUUUGAGUAUGCCAUUCUACCGAACCCCUCUAAAUGAUCGAUUAUGAUUUGCCUUAAGCUGGUAUAAAGAGUUUCAAUGAUCUUUGAAUCAAAGGUAAUUCUUUUUGCCACUUCAGGGGAUAUAUCUACGAGUCACCAUCCCUAAGAUGCCUCGUUGUGGUAUCAUGGCAAUCCAACUCCUCGCUACCUUGACAACCGAUCACCACAUUCUUAAGUCUGGAAUUGUUGUCUACCUAGUGAACCUCGUCAUCUGCUCCACUCCAUCCCUCUAGAGGUGUGCUUCGUCUCUCAGUUCAAGAGAUGUUGCUAUGCCUCAUUCCGAGAGUUAAUCCUGAGUUGUUCGACCUUCGAGAAGAUCGAUUCUUCCGGAGUUGUCCUUUUCCUCUUGCUGUCAUGCUAGCUGGAGUUCUCAGAGCAAGACGACGGGACAAAGAUGGUGAACAAAUCAACAUUCAGUUGAAGUGCAACCUGGAUCGUGAAGAUUAUACUAGUUGCGUUUACCUUUCACCUUACCCUACGCGUGAAUCUCGAGACGAGAUUCUUGUUUAGUGGGGGUGAGUUGUCACAUCCCUAGCUUCAGGCAUUGCUCUAGGUUAGCUUCAUGUGUGCAUCAUGUCUAUAUUUUUGAAACUUGAAUUGAGGAAUAUUGGAAGCCUCAAAACCCUAAAUAAAAGAGGGGCAAAACCCCUAGAAAUCUCAUUCAUUGCUCCAAAAGGCUCUUCUUAAAUGUUUGAUAAUUUUUGGUAAGGGUUCUGGUCCCAACCAAAAUAUUGAACAUUUUUAAGGAUUUAUUUUUGGGACUUUGAAUUUAAAUCAUUAGCUAUUUGAAUUUGAAUUAUAUUCAUAUAAUUAGAAUAUAAUUUCAAAUACCCCUGAAAUAUUUUAUGAGCUUUUGGAAAAGUCCAUCUAGCCAAAUAAAAUUUAUUCAGAGGAGUUUUUGGCAUUGUUUGAAUUUGUUUAAAAUUCAAAACAGUGGCAAAACGAAAUUAAAUAAAACAAAACAGAAGGAAAAAAUAAAAGAGAGAGAGAGAAGGACUUACCUGGCCUCACCCGCGCAGCCCACCAGCCGGCCCAGUUCCCCCCCCCUGGCCGGCCCAGCCCGCCAGCGCCCUCCCUGUCGUCUUCCUCCUCGGGACAGUAGGACAGAGGCGCGUGGCCGGAGCGCGCGCGCACGCGCCGAGCCACCUCCUGCUUGCCGCCCCGCCCCGGAUCGGCUAAGGAUGCCACGCACCCCCUCAGGCCUCUCUCAACUCCCUCCCGUGCUCAUCCCCUUCUCCUGCCCUCCCUCUCGCUCCGCACCUCGGACCCGAGCGGAGCCGCCGCCACCGACGCCGAUUGCCGCAGCCACCGUGCUCCCCACGCCUCACCGACGCCCCAGGGAGCUCCGCCUCGACCCCCUCCUUCCUCCCCACCGACCCACGGCCCUCCGGAAGCCCUGCAACGCCGUCACCAUCGCCGUUCCGUCGUCGGCCACCGAAGCUCCCCUCCGUCGAUUCGCCGGACCCCGUGCCUCCCCUGCCUCGCCAGCAGCACCAGAAGAACCGCGGUGAGCCCUCGACCCGAUUCCCCCUCUCCCCGUGCCCCACCUCCCUCUCUAGCUAGCCCCACCACUUUGCCCGAGAAUCUCUCGCCGCCGGCCAUGGCGUGGCCGUGGCCACAGCCACCCCAGCUCGUAUCCGAGCCCACUGACGUGCUCACCGUGAUCUCAGGAGUCCGUAGCACGCCCCAGCUCCUCCUGCCGUGCUCCCUAACCCCGACCCUGAGAUUGCCCGAACUCCGGCAGCCGCAAAGGAGCUCGCCGCCGGCAGCUCCGGCCACCCCAGCUGCUGUCACUUGCCUCUUUAGAUGCGCCUUUCUCCCAGGAACCCGUAGGAGCAAACCGCACGUCAAAUGGUGCUCCGUAGCGAGCGCACGGUGCACCUCCGCUGUCGGCCGUGGUCGUCGCCGGCGACACUCCGGCGACUGCCGACGUGGCACGCCUAAUUAGCACUAAUGACCUUGUUAAACUAACCCCGUGACACUGACAGUGGGCCCCGUAGCGGGUCAAAGCCCGGGUCAACGCGGGAUUAGCCUCUGAGUCACUGACGUGUGGACCCCACACGUCAGGUUUGACCUGGACCGCCCGUUGACCUGCUGAGGUCAGCAUGAGGUCAUGCUGACGCCAUAAUUCAUUUUCUGGAAUUAUUUUUAAUUCUAAAUAUUCAGGAAAUUCCAGAAAAUUGUAUAAACUUCUAAAAUUCAUAGAAAAUUAACCGUAACUCCAAAUUAAAUAAUUUAUAUAUGUAAAAUUAUCAGAAAAAUUCAAGGAAUCCAUCUGUACCAUUUUCAUGCAUGUUAGAACAACUUAUCACUACUAUUUAGGGCAAAUGAAGUGAAUGGCAUUUGAAUAAUCACAUAUGGAGUUUGAAUUUGAAUUUUAUAUUCAAACCAACUUCAUUUAAUCUGUUGCUAGUUGCAUCAGCCCAAAACACAUUCAUUUUGCCAUGUCAUGAUCAUGCAUCAUAUUGUGCAUUGCAUUGAUUGUGUUCCUUUCUGUGUUGCCGGUAUUUGUCCCCUCUCGAUAGACGUGAUACCGAUGAUGUGAUCGUUGACACUGAUGAAGACUCAAUGUUAUCUUCAGAAGUGCCAGGCAAGCAAAACCCCCUUGUUCAUUCCGAUACAAUCCUACUCUCUCGCUCCUGCUCUCUUUUACUGCAUUAGGACAACACCGAUUCAUCUGUUACUUGCUGCGGUAGCUGAACCCCUUUGUCCUUUGCAUGACCUGUCAUUGCCACAGUAAAUAGAUGAAACCCACUAGCAUGAGUAGGAGUUGUUUGAGCCCUGAUGUGCCUACUCAUUCAUGUUUGUUUGUCAUGCCUGCUAUUGCUUAGAGUUGAGUCAGGUCUGAUUCAUCGGGGAUGAAUCAGAGGCGUGUGAACAUGUCCUACUGUGUGUGAGCUAAGUGUGUGAACACGAUUUGGUAAAGGUAGCGGUGAGAGGCCAUGUAGGAGUACAUGGUGGGUUGUCUCAUUGCAGCCGUCCUCAGGAACUGAGUUCUGUGUUUGUGAUCCAUGAUUCAGCUACUACCACGCAUUGGGCCCGAAACCAAUGGACCCUCUCGGCUUCUUGACCACCCUUGUCCUCUGUCCAGGAGUUGCAAGUAGUUUCUGGUGUUUGUAGUAUGCCGGAGGCCGUGCGCAGCGCUGACCGUAGGGGUGGGCUGUGAUGCGGUAGGCACGUGGCCGGGUAAACCGGGCGCCCGUUUGGUGUCACGGAACCCUGUACACAUCGUUUGGGGCUGUGAGCGAAACUCCGGCCGGAUCUCCUCAUGGAUGGAACCCGAAUAGGCGAUAAACCUGGACUAGAGACUUGAGUGUUUAGGUAGGCCGUGGCCGACACCCACGUUGGGCUUCCGCUUGAAGGUUGCCGAGUACAUGUCGUGUAAACGGCGGUAAGUGGUGAAAGCGUGUGUGAAGAAGUACACCCCUGCAGGGUUAACAUCAUCUAUUCGAAUAGCCGUGUCCGCGGUAAAGGACUGCUGGGUUGCUUAUAUCAGUUCAUAGACAAGUGAAAGUGGAUACUCUAAAAUACGCAAGAUAAGCGUGAGUGCUAUGGAUGGCGUUCUCGUAGGGAGACGGGAGCGGAUCCAUAGUGGUGUAUUGAUAUGGUGAAUAUGUGGACUCGUGUGCGCCACCUCAAAAGAGUUACAUUGCAGUCGUAGUUCAGGAUAGCCACCGAGUCAAAGCUGGCUUGCUGCAGUUAAACCCCACCAUCCCCUUUGUUGAUAAUGAUGCAUAUGUAGAUAGUUCUGAUGUAAGUCUUGCUGGGUACAUUUGUACUCACGUUUGCCUAUUUUAUGUUUUUGCAGAGAGACUUCAGUCUCACUAGUAUUUCCGCGUGGUCUUCGACGUUUAGCUUGAUACCUCAGCUACGAUCUUGUGCCCUCGGCAGGAUCUGAUAGAUAGUCAGGCUUCUCAGCCUUUUUCAUUUAUAGAUGUCUGUACUCAGACAUGAUAGCUUCCGCGUGUGCUUUGACUUGUAUGCUCUGAGUGUUGGGUCAUGAGACCCAUGUUUGUAAUAUCUCGCUCCUCGGAGCCUAUUGAAUAAACUACUUGAGUCGUAGAGUCAUUUUGUGAUGCCAUGUUGUAUUGCACAUAUCGAGCAUAUUGUGUGUAUGUUAUUGAAAUGCUUGGUAUGUGUGGGAUCUGACCAUCUAGUUGUUUAUCUUUAGUAGCCUCUCUUACCGGGAAAUGUCUCCUAGUGUUUCCACUGAGCCAUGGUAGCUUGCUACUGCUCCAGAACACUUAGGCUGGCCGGCAUGUGUCCUUCUUCGUUCCUAUGUCUGUCCCUUCGGGGAAAUGUCACGCGAUGAAUACCGGAGCCCUGUUAGCCUGCUACAGCCCGGUUCACCGGAGUCCUGCUAGCCCAGUGCUACAGCCUGGAUUCACUCGCUGAUGACCGACACGUUCGAUGCUGGGUCAUGGAUGCCUGUCCCUGUAAGUUUGUGCCACUUUGGGUUUACGACUAGCCAUGUCAGCCCGGGCUCCUUAUCAUAUGGAUGCUAGCGACACUGUCAUAUACGUGUGCCAAAAGGCGCAAACGGUCCCGGGCAAAGGUAAGGCGACACCCGUGGGAAUACCGUGCGUGAGGCCGCAAAGUGAUAUGAGGUGUUACAUGCUAGAUCGAUGUGGCAUUGAGUCAAGGCAGUGACAUAUAACUAUAUUAUGUCUUUAGAAAAUGGGUUGGCAUGCCAUAAUUCAGAUACAUGCUGUCUAUGUAGACAUCAUGGCAUGAUAUAAUUCAAAUAUAUGAUUUAUAUACUAAGGAAGUGAGCAGAGGGCAAUCACAUAUAUGAUGUGUCAACUAAGGAGAUGGCAUUCAAUAUCGUGUAUAUGAUGUAAAAACUAAGCAUUGCAAUACAACAUAUGCAUGAUAUGAGUAAUAUAACCCUGCCAAGUUUGAGCAUACACCUCAGGGGGAUAAUAGGACUGGUCAUCUUCCGCUGAAUCCUCCUCUGAAGAGCUAUCUGUAACCAGCAAGAUAUCUGCUUCACCAGGUAGCAUUGUCUGCUCUAAAGACCUUGUUUUCACUCCAUAUUUCUCCAUCACCAAUUCAAAUGGCUGAUGCACAAGAAGAGUAGUUGAAUAUGCAAACAUUGUCGACAAAAGCAAUGAGAAAUACAAAAAAAGGACGGCAUGAUAUAAUUAACAUAUAUGAUGCUUGGCUAAAUAGCAUGGCAUUGCAUAAUUCACAUAUAUAAUGCCUUGCAACAAGAUAACAUUGCAUAAUUCACAUAUAUAAUGUCUUGCAACAAGAUGUCAUUGCAUAAUUCACAUAUAUGGUAAUUAGACACUAAACAGGUGGCAUUCACAGAAAGCAUGUCUAAACUAAGCAAAUGACAUAGCAAUGCAAGAUACCAUACGCACGAUAUGAGCAACAUAACCCUGCCAAGUUAGAGCAUGCACCUCGGGGGGGGGGGGGAUAGGACUGGUCAUCUGUCUCUGAAUCCUCCUCUCAGGAGCUAUCUGUAACCAGCAAGACAUGCGCUACGUCAGAUAGCAUUGUCUGCUCUGAAGACCUUGUUUCCACUCCAGAUUUUUCCAUGACUGUGCCGAAUUGCUGAUGCACAGGAAGAGUAAUUGAAUGUACUAAAAUUGUUGACAAAUUUAACAUGUAAUAAAAAAUGAUGUCAUGAUAUAAUUCACAUAUAAGAUGACUGGCUAACCAGGGUGGCAUUACAAAAUUCACAUAUAUGAUGCCUGGCUAAACAAGAUGGUAUUGCAUGAUUCACAUAUACGAUAAAGAAACUAAACAAAUGGCAUUGACACAAAGCAUGUCUAAACUAAGCAGAUGACAUCUUUGAUGUAUACAGUAAGCAAUGCAACGCACCAUAUGCAUGAUUUUACCAACAUCAACAUGCCAAGUUAGAGUGAAGACCUCAUGGGGUAAAUAGGAGUGGUCUUCUGCUUCUGAAUCCCCCUCAGAACAGUUAUCUUCCUCUUGAUUACAAUCCGAAAUGGGUGGAGGGGGGCUGCCUUAGCGCCCACCAUGGAGCGACGUCUGCAUGAAAUUUUAUUGCCAUGCAAGGCUCGUCUCUUUUGUCAGAUUUCGGGUUCCGGCAGACCCUUGAGGUUCGAACACUGGGGUGCGCACGGAGAUUUCGCCUCCUACCUACCUGCACCCCUCCGCCUCGCUAAGAUCUAAGCUAUGGGAAGAACAACACAAGAGACACAGGGUUUAUACUGGUUCGGGCCACCGUUGUGGUGUAAUACCCUACUCCAGUGUGUGGUGUGGUGGAUUGCCUCUUGGGCUGAUGAUGAUGAACAAUACAAGGAAGAACAGCCUCGCGAGGGUCUGUUCUUGGCUGGGGCGAUGAACUGCUAGGAGGAGUUCAGUCACCCUUCUCUCUCUCUCUCUCUCUCUCUCUCUCUCUCUUCUCGAUUGUUUAUCUCGAUCUCCCUAAACCUCUCUGCUCUCUCCAACCCUGUGGGUGGCUGGUCCUAUUUAUAGAGGCCCUGGUCCUCUUCCCAAAUAUCGAGCGGGAAGGGAGCCAACAAUGGCGGGCUAAUUUGAAGGGGGACAGCUAGUACCAGCUAUCCUGACAAAAGUAGUCUUCGCCUGCACAAAGCUCUGGUAGUGACGCCGUCUUGGGCUCCAUGAUGACCUCCGUCUUGCAGUCCUCCUGGCCUUGGUCUUAUUGCCCCGAAAUGGCAACCCUUGCCUGAUGCCUCGGUACUCCGCGGCUGCGCUUGCUCCCUUUGCACCAAAGAGAAAAGGAGGACACUGUGCGGGCUGGCGCCCGCCUGGCGCCCUUGGUCGUCAUGGCUUGCGUCAUGGGCACCUCAUGAGGUACCCCGCCUUGAUCUCUCCGCCUCCUCGCGAGCCAGCCUGAUGAGGCUGUGCCUGAGGAAGCUCCGCGUCGUCCGCCCCGCGAGGCUUGGCCCCUUGUGAGGGUCUUGGCUCUGUGUUGGUGAAGAUGGGCCGUGCUGGGCCCCCCUUUGAGCCACGCCGCAGGCCGCAGGCAGGCAAGUCUGGGGACCCCCGUUCCCAAAACGCCGACAGUAGCCCCCGGGCCCAAGGCGCACCCGGACUUGGCCGUGUAGCUAGGCGGAAGGGCAAGAGCGAAGCGCCGCGGGCCCUAACAGCCUGCGGCCUUGGGCGCCGGGUGGCAGUUGAUUGGACGUGAGCGCCUUAGCAACCGUGCGAGUUGAUAAAGGAGCGGCAUCCGCCUAGGCUUUGCUUUUUGCUUUCUCCGGUUGCUGCUCAAAUCCCCUUUCCUGCGCCUCUCCUUCCUUCCUCCAAAAUUUUCAGAUCUACUCUGACCGCGUGACCUAGGAAGCCAUGGCGCCUCGUCAGCCCCCGGCCGUAGCUUGAUACUCGUCUGCCCUGGACCCGCCGAACGUGUCGGAGGCGAGCCUCGCCCGGUUGCGCCGGAUGGCGGCGGCGUGGGGCAUUGACGGGGCGAAGGUGUUCAAGGCCGGCUUCACCACCCCUAAGGGUCAAGGGAGCACCUUCUAUCCGUUCUUCGUAAGUGCCAUUGCUGCUGGCCUGGUGCCUCCCUUCUCCGAGUUCUUCUUAUCUGUCCUCCGCCAUUAUAAGCUACAUGCUUUGCAUCUCCACCCCAACUCCGUCCUUCUCCUGGCAAUCUUCGCCUAUUACUGCGAGGCUCACGUAGGGGUGCAGCCCUCAGUGGCCUUGCUGCGCCACUACUUCUAACUCCGGACCUCUCGCGGUCCUGCUUCCGCGUGCCCGAGCUUCAUCGCAUACGGUGGCGCCAUUGCCAUUUCGAACCCCGGGAAAAGGAUUGAGGGCUUCAGGAGCAAGUGGGUCUUGGUGGAUGCUGGGCGCAUCCACCCUCGGCUGAUCUUGCCCACGGAGCAGCCCGCGAGCUCCAGCGAUUGGGGUCGAGCGGAGCUCGUGGACCCCUGCGUGAAGCUGGUGUUGGAGAAGAUGGACGCGGAUCUGAGGCCGGCCAACAUGGCGGCGGCGAAGCUGACCGGCACGUCGCUGCUGAGAGAAUUCCUGGAGCACCAGCUAGCUCCGCUUCGGCAGUACUCACUUCCGAUGUGGAGGCCCCAUCCGAGCCCUGCGGCCUUGGCCGAUGGAGAUCUGGCUGUGGUCCUCGAAUCUCUGGUCGGGGGCGAUGUGGCGAGGUUGGAGGGCGCUCCUACGCCCUUGUUCCUGCGCGACGACUGGGAGCAGGUAGUGGAGUCCAUGCCCGUCUUCAACGGGGAUGGGCCCGUGCCCAUAGAAACCCCCGAGGAACCGGUGGACGUGCCCUCCGACGACUCCAGCGAAGAGGAGGAAGGAGGGGAGCGGGAAAAAGGGCCUGACUCCGAGGCGACUGACGGAGAGUCGAGGGCUCCCCUCCUCCGGCGCAGGUCCCGCAUUCUCCGCCUCUCUCCGAGCGAUGACGACGAGGAUGAUGACGAGCAGGACGGCGGGAGCUUGCCCCCGAUCCUGAAGAAGGACAAGACCGGGCUGAUCUCCCGUGGGUCUGCCCCGGCCCCGAGGCGUACCGCAGACGCACCUUCCGCUUCCAAGCUUCCCGAGGUUGACCCUUCCAGCCGGCUUUCAGGCUUCAAAUUUGGCCGGAGGCCGCUUGAGCUCACUGGCGACGACCCGUAAGCAUUUGAUUCUUGUCUUUAUUUCUUGCUCUGCUUCUGAGGCUUGACGUCCGCAUCUCUUGGAUAGGCUGGCGCCCGCAGCAAAGAAGUCAAAGGGGGAUCACGAGGUUCCGUCCGUGGCAGUGCCUCUGCCUGCGGAGGAGGGUGACCGCGACGCACAGGCUUCUCCUGCCCGGUCGUCCUCACGAGGCCUGGCUGAGCCGGCUGGGGCGAGCUCAGCCCCCACGGCCCAAGUGACUCCCGAGGUGUCCUUGCCUACCGCUGCCACUACAGCCGUUGGGGCGCAGCAGACUCCGCCUCAGGAUGCUGUGGCCGCGCUGCCGCCUUCUCCUCCUAUUCCACCGGCUGCUGUUUCUCCGACUCCUUCUGCCGUUCUGGAUCACGCUGUUGCUGAGCUGGACCUACUGCAGCAGGGUCUUCUUGGCGCUGACCCUCGCUUGGUGGCUGGGCGCCUGGAGCUGGCUUCAGGAUGGGUUCGCUCCGACACCUCGAUUCGGGCGGCGCUGGUCCAGGCCUCGACGGCUUGCGACGAGGAGAAGCAGGCCGUCCUUGAGGCGAAGGCUGCUCGUGACGCAGCCCUGGGGGAGGUGGUCGACAUCCGUGGUCACUGCAAGGCGCUGGAGGACGAGCUGCAAGGCCUGCGGGACCAGCUCGCGAAAGAGGUCCGCCUUCGCCAAGAGCAGGAAGAAGGCGUGAAGGCUCGCGAGGCAGCCGUCAAGGAGAGGGAGGUCAAGCUCAGGAAGCGCCGUGACUGCCUAGGCGCGCUGGAGCAGGAGUUGGGGGCCAGGAAGGCCGAGCUGGACGACAAGGCCCUGGUUCUUGCCGAGGACCGCGUGGCCUUCACGGAGAUGGAGGCGAAGGCUCGCUCCUCGCUGAGGACGCUUUACGACAGCGGCCUGGAGAGCCCGCUGGCUGGCGCCGAGGACGGCCUCGCCAAGCUGCUUCCUUCCUGGUUCGCACUCUUGAAGAUGUCGCCCUUGGCCUUGGCCCCACGGCCGAGGCCGAGGCGCAUGUCCUGUCUUCUGCAGCACUGACGCGGGUCCUCACCCACAUCUACCUUCGCGAUCCCGGCGUCGACCUCGACAGCCUGCUAGAGCCAAUAAGCGGCGAGCGUGCCGCUGCCGAGGGCGUGAAGGGUCGCGCGGAGGCUCUGCUGGGGAAGUUCCGGGCCUUCAGCACCAAGCCGAAGCAAGGCGCUGCCGACCCCACUGCUCCAUGAGGCGAACCCACUCCGCGCUGCUCCACCACCGACAAGUGACUCCGUUGUGUCUCCUGUCCUGCCUUUAAUUCAUGCACAUGUAUCAUGCCUCGGGGAGGCGUUUAAACUUGCAUUUGGCAUUGAGAUAACAGUGUGGACUGUAAUAUUUGCUUUUGAAUUCCUUCAAAUUUGCGCUUUUCCUUCCUACUUGCUUAUGUUCUACGCCGGCAGAGCCCGGCCCCGCGCAUGCCUCACCCAGCGUUGGUCCCGACCGGAAACCAGGACAGGGCCAAGGAGUGAGGGGCUACGUGACAAGCUAGGCUCCUGAGUCGCGAUGCUCAGGAGUCCCCCUUGGCGCAAGAACAACAAGUAGGAAGGUGUGAUGUGGGUGGAUCUACCGUUCUACGUCUGUAGAGCCCGGCCGCGCGCAUACCUCAACCGCCGUUAGCCUUUCGGAACUAAGGAGUGAGGGGCUAUGUGACCAGUUAGGCUCCUGAGUCGCGAUGCUCAGGAGUCCCCCUUAACGCUCAAACGGCCUUUGUACCUUGGCUCCGCUCGGGGAGAGACGCACGACGAACCAGGCCCCAGGGGGGGGGGGNNNNNNNNNNNNNNNNNNNNNNNNNNNNNNNNNNNNNNNNNNNNNNNNNNNNNNNNNNNNNNNNNNNNNNNNNNNNNNNNNNNNNNNNNNNNNNNNNNNNNNNNNNNNNNNNNNNNNNNNNNNNNNNNNNNNNNNNNNNNNNNNNNNNNNNNNNNNNNNNNNNNNNNNNNNNNNNNNNNNNNNNNNNNNNNNNNNNNNNNNNNNNNNNNNNNNNNNNNNNNNNNNNNGGGGGGGGGGGUUGCUGGGCGGCGUGCGUCUGGGCGUGACCCAGGCGCAGCCCCCGUGCCCAGCCCCCUCGCGCGGCACUCCCGAGGGGAGGCAUUACAAUGAGGCUAGACACUGAGCUCUAGGCUCCCUGAGGUUGAUGCGGUCCGGGGGCCACCCUCAGUUGUUCAUCACCAGCGCGGAGCAUAGCGCUUCCGUAUGUGUACGGGCAUAGCCGCUCCUCGGUAGUGUCGUCAGCCAGCGCGGAGCAUGGUGCUUCCACUAGUACGUGGGAGGGGGCCCCCCUCCGGGAGGAGCCCCCCGGGGCGUGUACAGCCCCGCCCUGACACGCGGCUGGCACGGUAGGGCCUGGCGAGGUGUAUCUGGGCACCUGUGAGCCAGCGCGGGACUCACGGGGCCCUACCUCUAGGCGGGUUGCGCCUGGCACUGGGCCUUAUCUUGUGAUGUGUCCCUGCAAAUUUGGUUAGAUGCCGGCACUCUACGUCCUCGGGUCCCGGCCCUCGAGCUGGUCUCAGCCGUCGCUGGUAUGCCAGGUCGCGAUGCCGUGGACAAGGCCAGAGGGUGAGGGCUGGAGAGCCAGUAAGAGCCCUGAGUCGCGAUGCUCAGGUACCCCCCCUUUAACGUGCAAGUGGUCGGCAUGGAGAAGAAGAGGUGCCGUGGACCGGCAUCAAAUAAUCAAGCAUGGUGGAUCGAACGCAUAACCAAAAAUAAACGCAAAUGGGAUACCUGCCGCUGGGUCUGGACCGAGCGACUUGGGGAUCAUCCAGCCCGAGGGGCGCCCCCAACAAGGUAAGCUAACAACAUGAAAUAAAAGGGAUACACGCCGCAGGGACGGACCAACACGGCCUGGGAAUAAUGCAGCCCUGGGGAGCGCUCCCAGCUGGAAGUGAAACUUGAAAGAUGUCACCUGAUGACGUUGAGGACGAAGGGGUGUUGGUGUAGCAGACUCAGUGGGCUGCGGAAGCCGAUCCUCAUGAGCCCCCAGGCCCAGGGGCCUCGGGAGGCUCUGGAGGCGCUGGCGGCUCCUCGCGAACCAUCUCCAUCUCCGCCAGGGCUGCGGAACGCCUGGCCUCUUGUGCCUCCGUGAUGCCCCUCAUGAGGCGCUGGUACGUGGCAGCGGCGUUCGGCAAGCCAUAAGGCAUGCGAACGUAGCUGUGGGGUGGACCUCCGCAGCGCCUCACUCGCGAGGGCCAGAGGCGCUCCAGAGAGGUGACUCGGUUGAGCCCUGGUAUGUCGAUGCAGACGCGCAGCCCACCAUCCUCGCCUGGAUGGGGAGCCACUGCUGGUAGGCGGCGGCCGCCUUUCAUGACUCUUGACUCCUGUAGCUCCUGAAUGGCCUUGCUGACGAACUCCUGAGGGUCUGGCUCUCCUUGCCUUGCUCCUUCUUGAGGGAAACAUGCUUCGAAACACGCUUCCAUGUGGUGCCCAAGUGCCUCCCUCGUGACCCUAGCUAGGACGGUGGCCCUCUAGGGGAGAGCCCCCGAGCCCUGCCUGAGGAGGGCGCUGGGCGCGCUUUCCUAUGCGAUGGAAGGAGGUUCCCCCUGGGCAGGCAUGGGCCUAGAGGGGCCUGCCUCCUGAGGGGCCGGGCCGGACGAUGUCUUCUUCUUCUUGGGGGCGGCCUCGGGAAGCCUCCUGCUUCCGCGAUCCGGGUCUUCCAGUGACGCGGCCUGAAAGGCUCGUUCCAGGGAACACACCGCGUCCUUCUCUUCACAGGGCACCGUGAUGACUCUGCAACUUCCCGGCAUCUUGAGGACGUUGUAGCCGUGGUGAGUUACGGCCAUGAAUUUGGCCAGCACUGGGUACCCAAGGAUGGCGUUGUACGGCAGACGAAUGUGAGCGACGUCGAAGUCGAUGAGCUCAGUGCGGUAGUUGUCGCGUGCCCCGAAGGUGACAGGGAGGCGGACCUGCCCAAUCGAUACCGUGGAGCCGUCGGUGAUUCCGGAGAAAGGCUUGGUUGGCUGAAGCUGGCUGUAGGGCACUUGGAGAUUGUUGAAUGUUUCCACGGACAGGACGUUGAGCCCUGCCCCGCCAUCGAUGAGGGUCCUGGUGACCAACACGUUGCUGAUGAUUGGGGAACAAAGCAUCGGGAGGACUCCGACUGUAGCCGCACACUUGAGCUGAUCUGCUGAGCUGAACAUGAUGGCGCACGCCGACCACCUGAGAGGGCGCGUGGCUUCGAGCCUGGGGAGGACUGCAUUCACUUCACCGGCGAACUGCUUGAAGAUGCGUUGAGAGGCUGGGGCUUGAGCCCCGCCCAGGAUGCAGGCAAUCGCGCGCGGCUCCUGGAAGCCCCCAGCCCCCUCGUCCUGGUGGCGGUCCUCGUUUCUCCUUGGCUGCGGCGGCAGCGGAGAGAGGCCUGCGUUGCCUUGCGGGCGAUCCUCGCGAGGCUGAUCCCUCCAGUCUCCCUCGCGAGGCGGGUCUUGCCAGCGAUCCUCGCGAGGUUGGUCGCGCCACCCUUGGCGCGGGCCACGGUCUUCCCAGUGUCAUGCGUUCCUUCCUCCUCCUCGACCGUAGCCCCGGUCACCACGGUCGGGGCGACAGCCGAUCCUUCCUUCUCGCACGGCUCGGAGCUCUUGACAUUCGUUGGUGUUUUGGGUGUGGAGGUCGUGGUACACACAGUACCGACUGCCCUUGGGAGGUUCGGGCUGAUCUCUGCCCUGCUUGGUGUCUGGUUCUGCCGCGAGCACGGCAGCCCCCUUGCAUUUCACAUCCUUGGCCUUGGGCUUCUUCUCUUCUGGGUUUGCGGCCGGCAGCUCGAGGAGGGAGAGACGCCCUUCCUCAGCCCUGGCGCACUUGGUUGCCAAGUUGAACAGCUCCAAGGAAGUGCACAUGUCUUCAUGCAUCGCCAGCUCCUCCUUCAUCUUGACAUCACGCACGCCGUCAGAGAAGGCUGAGAUGAUGUCCUCCUCAGUCACCUUGGGAAUCUUGAGGCGUGCGUUGUUGAAGCGCUGGAUGUACGUCUGCAGGGUCUCCCCGGGUUGUUGCUUGAUGCGGCGCAUGUCGCUCACGGCGGGUGGCCGGUCGUGAGUACCUUGGAAGUUGGCGAUGAAGCGGGUGCGCAUCUCGUCCCAGGAGGAGAUCGUGCCUGGAGCCAGGUUCAGGAGCCAGGUGCGGGCCCCGUCCUCGAGCGCCAUGGGAAACCAGUUCAUCAUGACCUUCUCGUUUCUGUUGGCAGCUUCGAUGCCUAGCUCGUAGAGCUGGAGGAACUCCGCAGGGUCAGCCGUGCCAUCGUAACAAGGAGGCAGGUCUAGCUUGAACUUGCCGGGCCACGCGAUGCUGCGUAGCUCGGUGGUGAAGGCACGGUAGUCUGCUGUGGCCACGGAGGCCUUGGGUGACGGAGAGCUUGGUCUUUCAUGUCCCCACGCGCUGCAGCUGGGAGCAGCGCGGGGUCUUGAUGUGCGGGAGUAGGAGCAUGGUCGCGACGUGCUGGAGCAGGGAGCGCCCGGGCAGCUUCUUGCGGGCAAGGGACUUCUUGGCAGCUCUGCUCUUGCCGCGCUUGCACCUGACGGAGCGGGUUCCGCCCAGGGACCAUGCGCCUUGGAGCCAUGGCGCCUUCCUGAGGAGGAGGCGGCCGGGGUGCCGCCGGAGCUUCGUCGCCCGCGCGGGGCGGGGUGCGGUGCAGCGGAACGGACGACGCAGGAGAGCCCCCUGCGGUGCGGACGAGCUCGGCGAUGCGGUCGAGCCAUUCUUCGUAGACGUCGUCGACGGGACGGUAGCGCAGGAGCUCGUUUGCCGCGAUGAGCGCAGCUCGAGCCUCCAUGGGUGCGCGGAGCGCACGGGACGAAGAACCAGCCGGGGUGAGCGAGGGAGUUGCGGUGCGGCCGUCUUGCCGCAUGGACGGAUGCUGAGACGAUGCUUGCUGCUCGUCUCCCGCCGGGCCGGUGGCGGCGUUGACGGCAGGUGACGGGGAACGGCGAGGACGCCCGCCGACAGGAGCCUUCUAGGCGAUGCGGGAAGCGAGAGCGGCCCGGCGCUCGGCGCGGGCCCGACGAGCGUCAGACAUGGGCGCGAUGGUCGGAGGAGAACGGGGUGGUGGAAGACGAAUUCCGGCGCACCCCUACCUGGCGCGCCAAAUGUCGGAUUUCAGGUUCCAGCGGACCCUUGAGGUUCGAACACUGGGGUGCGCACGGAGAUUUCGCCUCCUACCUACCUGCACCCCUCCGCCUCGCUAAGAUCUAAGCUAUGGGAAGAACAACACAAGAGACACAUGGUUUAUACUGGUUCGGGCCACCGUUGUGGUGUAAUACCCUACUCCAGUGUGUGGUGUGGUGGAUUGCCUCUUGGGCUGAUGAUGAUGAACAAUACAAGGAAGAGCAGCCUCGCGAGGGUCUGUUCUUGGCUGGGGCGAUGAACUGCUGGGAGGAGUUCAGUCACCCUUCUCUCUCUCUCUCUCGCUCUUCUCGAUUGUUUAUCUCGAUCUCCCUAAACCUCUCUGCUCUCUCCAAUCCUAUGGGUGGCUGGUCCUAUUUAUAGAGGCCCUGGUCCUCUUCCCAAAUAUCGAGCGGGAAGGGAGCCAAUAAUGGCGGGCUAAUUUGAAGGGGGACAACUAGUACCAGCUAUCCUGACAAAAGUAGUCUUCGCCUGCACAAAGCUCUGGUGGUGACGCCAUCUUGGGCUCCAUGAGGAUCUCCGUCUUGCAGUCCUCCUGGCCUUGGUCUUGUUGCACCGAAAUGGCAACCCUUGCCUGAUGCCUCGGUACUCCGCGGCUGCGCUUGCUCCCUUUGCACCAAAGAGGAAAGGAGGACACUGCGCGGGCUGGCGCCCGCCUGGCGCCCUUGGUCGUCAUGGCUUGCGUCACGGGCACCUCAUGAGGUACCCCGCCUUGAUCUCUCCGCCUCCUCGCGAGCCAGCCUGAUGAGGCCGUGCCUGAGGAAGCUCCGCGUCGUCCGCCCUGCGAGGCUUGGCCCCUCGCGAGGGUCUUGGGUCUGUGUUGGUGAAGAUGGGCCGUGCUGGGCCCCCCUUUGAGCCACGCCGCAGGCCGCAGGCAGGCAAGUCUGGGGACCCCCAUUCCCAGAACGCCGACAUCUUUUACUCUACAUGUCUAGUUCCAUUGUGUACACUAACUGACAUGCAUAGGAAUAAAACAUAGUGAGAUUAUGUAAGGAGUGCAUGCACAAAUCCAGAGUGAUGGUAGCAAACUGUGGAUAGACCCAAAGCAAAUGAUAGAAGGCAGAUAAUAGCUUUAGUUAAAAAAUAUAGAUAAUGGCUCCUUUAAUGUUUGUUUACACCCAACAUGAAACUCAUAGUAGACACCCGAGAUUAACCAGAUAGUAGACAGAUAGUACCGAUUGCUGCCCCAAUAUGUACCCCACAACCAUUUAAAAACUCAAGUUUCAACAUAAGUUUGGACCUAAGUCGGAGUCUAAUAGGUGAACACGACGAUAAAGUAGCAUGUCAUCAUAUUAAGAAAUGCAACGUAAGCAGACACAGAAGAGUGCGACCUCUCUUGCGGACCCAUGUAGUCCUCAAGGUCAUCUGCUCAGUUGAUGAUGGUAAUGCAGUUGUCGUGGCUGCCGGCAGCGAGGAAGAAGAUCUGAGGCGGCAAAAGACAGUCUGGAGAGCGGAUCCCUAUUGUGGUGAACCCUUCCGUCAUUGGAGCAGCUAAGCUGGGGUGGAACACAGCACCGCAGGAGUAGGACAAACCACGCAAGGUUUUCUUUGACACAUAUCUAUAACAGAAGUAAUUGUGUAAGGGCUUGUUUGAAUUUGAGGAUUCUAACAAUGGAGGGAUAGGAAAUAGACAUGAAUAGGAUAGGAAUGCACAUGCAAAAUAGAGAAUUUAAAAACACAUGAUUUCUGCCAAUCUGGGUGUUUGGUUCACAAGAAUUGGAAGAUCACAUGAUGCAAAGAAGUAUGGUGAGAUUAAGUCAAACCACAAGAAGUGUACAACCUCUUUGGCGAAGCCAUGUCGAUCUCAGCGUGAUUGGGUUGGCCGGUGAGGAUGCUCGACUGACUUGGCUGUCGGAGGAGGGGAAGAAGAUCUUAGGCGUCUGGAGAUGGAGCCCGAGGUACUGCUCCGCUGUGAUGGAGGGUUUUGUCGUUGGAGCAGCUCCGGUGAGUUGUACGACGCUGAGGCUGAAGCAGGACAAGAGAGACAAUGUUAACCUAAGUGGAAUUCUAAUAGAAUCUCCAAUAGAUGACGUAAAAUACAUAACCACAAAGUGCUAGAUGUAUACAUCAGCCGCUCAUCUCUGAACUUAACUAUCGAAACUGAACUUAACUGCCGAAACUGAAUUUUACCGUCAAAACUGAACGCACUAGAGGUGAGGCUACACGUCAGUCGAGUGACUUUUUCAUCUCUGGUUAGUCGAUUUUGCAGCCGUUGGAUACAAAAUCAAGGGCCUGCAGUUCAUCUUCAACCUCCACCGCCUGAGCCGCCAGCCAUCAAUGGCCAAACAGUCGCCCCCCGCCGCCCACGGCCGGCGGUGCGCCGCCCCGCCCGCCCUGAAAACACUCCCCACUGCCGGUCCACCGCCGCCCCGGCCAUCCCUGUAGGUCCCCCCCCAUGCCAAGCUUUUUCUCCGGCAAUCCCCACGCCACCGCCCCACCACCGCCGGUGACCACCGCCCCCACCCUGGACCCUAAGAUAGAUAGUGGGGUACCUCUCUAGCGAGCCCCUCUCCCCGCUGCGGCUGGUUCUUCCUUAACUCCAGCGAGCCCCCCACCCCCUGAAAAUCCACUGACCCAAAAGUCGAUUCAGUCGACUGAAGUGUAGCUAAAUCAGAGCAGCAUCACAAGCAAGAGCAAGAGCGAGAGCAGCAGCGCGAGCAAGAGUAGACCAGGCAGGGGACCGAGAGCAAGAGUAGAGCAGCAGCGCGAGUGAGAGCUAAAGCAGCAGUAGCUCCUACUGAUGUGGACAUCGCCGCCGAGGGAGUGACAUCGUGGAGGAAGUGGCUAGCGACGCCGCCGUGGAUGGAGCCGCACCGUGUCAGCUCGGGACUGAGCACCGGCAGCACCGUGAGAUCGAAUCAAGAAGAAAAUGCGGCGAUUAGUGUUGGGGACACACAUAACAGGUAGGCCAACGAAGGGUCAAAAUAUAUUAAAGCAUGGGGUCCACACAUCAGGUGGGUCCAGAUAAAUUUCAUACAGACAUACUAUCCACUCGGAUGACCAUCAAGUCACUCGGACGACAACAACCACUCGACCAACUCAUUCCACUCGGAGCACCUGAUCUCACUUGGAUAUGCGAAGACCAGCAGUCGACAAGGCACUCGAAGCAUCAUCUUAGUAGUAGGCUGAGUUAUGGCAUUAACGCACCCACUUUGUAACAUAGGAGGUGAGGGGGUGACGCACUCUAUAUAAGCCACCCUCACCACUAGACUAGGGGGCUCUUUCCUCUCUUUUCUUCCACCUCUCUUUCUCUUUUGGUCAUUAGUCUCAGGACUACGGGGAUCCGUUCUCUCACACACUGUAAUCUCUGAAUACAUACUCAGAUAAAACAAAGCUUCUCCAGAGCACGAGACGUAGGGUUGUUAUCUCCAUCGUGAGAGGCCCGAACUCGCUAAAACCACCGUGUCACCCAUUUACAUCUUGAUAGAUCAUGCUCCAUUAUCCUAUACUUUAUUAUUGUCGGAAUCGUUUCCACGACAGUUGGCGCCAUCCGUGGGACAUGGCGUCUAUUGAGCCAUGAUGCAAAUGGUUAUUUCUUGAAUCUUUGGCAGCGAAUCAACGACCAUUGGCAGAGAAAUUGGCCGCUGGAUGUGUGGCCAUUGCGCCAUUAGCACAAACAAGAUGACCAGGGAAGUAUCCAUUCGAUCUAAUCUUUUUACAAUAAAUCGUCUAACAAUGAGUUAUCUUUUGCUUCCAUAGGAUCAGAUACAUCCAUGGAUGACCGAUCAUGAAGCAGAGAAGCAGAGAAAAGGACAAAACGUUCCCCAUAUUUCUUACCUUCUCACAUGAUUGUCACCAUUGGCAACCGCCACAAACGCCCUCCGGCCUCAUCUACGACGCCGUCGGUGACCUCGUCGACAGCGAGCUCGUACAAAAGCCCUCUGGCGCGGUCCGUCGCAUCGUCUCCGGCCACGUCUACGACGCCCUCGGCGAGCUCGUACAAACGCCCUCCGGCGCGGUCUGCGGCGUCGUCUCCAGCCUCAUUGACGGCGAGCUCAUACAAACGCCCUCCGGCGCGGUCCGCCGCGUCGUCUCCGGCCAUGUCUACAACGCAGUCGUCGAGCCCGCGAACACGACCACCGGCGCGGUCUGCCUCGUCAUCGUUUCCGGUUUGGUCUACGACGCCGUCGUCGAGCUCUCGAACAUGGCCACCCGCGCGGUCCACCCCAUCGCCAUCUCCAGCCUCAUCUACCGCGUCGUCGUCGGAAUCCCAUGCACGGCCACGGGCCACCUCCUCCCGCCGGCGUCGAUCGCUCGGCAACUUGUCUCACGUUUGUCACGCGUGCAUGCAGGUUCCUCGUCUCACAUAUCCCACUUGCCACUUGCAUGCACAUUAAGAACCAGGAAAGGAAAUUGCUUUGAUUGCCAAAUCAAUGUCAAUUAGGAAAAUUGCCAUUACAUGCAGCAACACAUAUCCCACUUGCAUGCGCUUUAAGAACGGAAGGACGUGGACCUCAUUACUCUGCGAGGAGUUAAUUGGCUGCCCUAGUCAAUCCAUCACUUGAUGAAGAUCUCUAACGUAAAUUAUGGCCAGAAUGAAGCUCGCUGAUAGGCGGAUCACUCGGAGGAACUAUAUGCUCAAGUGGGUUGUUUACUCCGACAGACCUGCCGACUCGGGCGAACCCAGGUUCACUCAGGACCAGACUGGAGCGCACCCAGCGCGGUGCAAGAACUGAAGAUGGGCACUCCUCGUCACCCGACUGCUCGACACGGCGCACACACGCGGCGGCUCCUCCCCCGGCAUCAGCCGCUCGGUAGUCAGCUCCCGCGGCGGUAGAGUAGCCGGAAGCUAGAGGCUGACCGCACCCCGGACGUGCAGCUGCUCUUCCUGCCUAUUGGAUCACCAGCACAGAUCAUUUACUCGGCCUCCUGCGCGUCGUCACUCGACUCCGUCCGCGCACCGUCGCUCAGCCAGAGGCGUCUUCAUCGCCACUCGGUUGGACACGCCAGCAUCACUCGGCCGCCUGCGCAUCGUUACUCCGCCGUGCGGCAUCACUCUGCAGAAUGCGCCUACAUCACUCAGACGCCUCGCGCGUCACCACUCCAUGGGACGCGUCUACUUUAUGGGCACCGCUAGGCGCCGGCGCACCGGCCGAAACUUUCGGCCGGUCCAGCCAUAGCCGCUCGAUGCGAGCCGCGUGGCGGUUGGAUCUGGAGCCAAAAAAAUAAAAAUCGCCCCAGCUUCUUCUUCCUCGGGCCCGUGGCGCAUCUCCGGCGAGAUUCCCUGCGGCUCGCAGCACGGCGCAUCUCCGGCGAGAUCCCCCGCGGCUCGCAGCACCGCGCAGCUCCGGCAAAGGCCCCCACGGCUCAUCUCCGGCGAGGCCCAGCUCCAGCAAGGCCCCCGCGGCGCAUCUCCGCGUGAGGCCCAGCUCCAGCAACGCCCCCGCGGCGCAUCUCCGGCGAGGCCCCCCGCGGCUCGCGGAGCCUCACGUCGCCGGCCGCUACCCCUGCUUGCCGCCGGCGAAGCAAACACGACCCACCUUCACCGCCGCCGGUGAAGCAAAAAAAAUGCCGGUUCCAGCAAAAUCGAAAGACGGUGGUAGCAUUUUUUAGGCUGGUUCAGCAAAAGUCAAAAAAAGAAACUUGGGGUGGUAGCGAAAACUUCUGAUGCUUCCAACAAGACUCUGGUAGUAGCAAAUGGUGUCUCCGGUAGUAGCAAAAAUCCGAGACGGUUGCAGCAAAGAAAAGCCGUCGCCGCCGUCCAACACCGCCGUGGGUGGAUGUAGCAAAAAUGGUCUUCGGUUCCAGCAAAAUGAAAAUACGGUUGUAGCAAAAAUUAUCUUCGGUUCCAGCAAAUCAAAGUAUGGUUGUAACAAAAAUCGACUGAAAGAAAACAUGCGAUGUCAUGGAGAUGGAUGUAGCAAAAAAACCACAAAACAACGGUAGUAACAAAAACUCAAAACAAAAUGUAGCAAAAUGGUUCGCCGGUUCCAGCAAAAAUCACCACGGGAGCAGAUUUUGGGGUGAGUGGGUGGUAGCAAAAACAUGGACCAGUUCCAGCAAAAAAGAAACAUGGUUGUAGCAAAAAUCUUGCUGUGGCGGCCAUGAAGAGGAGCAGGAGCACAAAUCAGCUGCGGGCGGCCAUGGCAACGAGCGCUAGUUGCAGCACCGUCACGGUUGCAGCCCCGCUCAGCUCCGGCCACCAAAAAGACGAACGCCGUGGCAUCUACACCGCACCGGUCGCCGGUGCUUCGCCACCAAAAUUUCGCAUCUCCGUGUUGGGUCGCCUCUGUGCAGCAGCAAGAAGCGGAAGUGGAUGGGGAAAUGCAGAAUGAGUGGUGGAGAAUGGAAGAGGCAACGCGAGGAAAGGGAUAACGCUGCGGUCAAAGCGGUGUGUGGACCCGGCCAGCACGUGGACGUGCGGCUGCGAAGGGAACACGAGCGUCCGCGCAUCAGUCGACGCGCAUGUGACCGGCCCAACGCUUGGGCCGGCGCGCCGGCCACAAACACUUCCCCUACUUUAUUUGGACGCCCCGCGCCUUCUCACUCCAUGAGACACAUCUACUUCACUCGGACGCCCCGAGCGUCGCCACUCCACAGAAACAUCUACUUCAUUCGGACGCCCCGCGCAUCGCUCUCCGCGGGACGCGUCUACUUUACUCAGCCGCUCCGCGCAUUGCCAUUGAUUGGUCACCUCAUCACCACUCGGUCGCCCUGCGCGUCGCCAUCGGUUGGUCCUCAUAACCACUCGACCGCCCCGUGCGUCGCCACUCGGUUGGUCACCUCAUUACCACUCGGCCGCCCCGCGCAUCGCCUUCGGUUGGUCACCACAUAACCACUCGGCCGCUCUGAGCGUCGCCACUCGGUUGGUCACCUCAUAACCAUUCGGCCGCUCCGUGCGUCGUCAUCGGUUGGUCACCUCAUCACCACCCGGCCGCCCCGCGUGUCGCCAUUGGUUGGUCACCUCAUCACCAUUCAGCCACCCCGCGCGUGUCGGUACCCCGAUACCAAGUCACAUCGAUCUAGCCGGUAACACCUCAUAUCACUUUGCGGCCUCACGCACGGUAUUCCCACGGCUAUUGCCUUACCCUGGCCCGGGACCGUUUGCGCCUUUUGGCUCACGUAUAUGAUUGUGUCGCUAGCAUCCAUAUGACAGAGAACCCGGGCCGACAUGGCUAGUCGUGAACCCAAAGCGGCACUAACCUAUGGGGACAGGCAUACAUGAUUCACAUCGAGCAUGUCAGUCAGCAGCGUGUGAAUCCGGGCUGUAGCACUGGGCUAACAGGACUCCGAGGAACCUGGGCUGUAGCAGGCUAGGCAGGACUCCGGAUGUCACCGCGUGACAUUUCCCCAAAGGGACAGACACAUGAACGAAGUGAAACAAAUGCCGGCCAGUCAAGUGUCCUGAGCAGUAGUGCUGGGCUAGCAGGACUCCGGUGAACUGGGCUGUAGCGGACUACUAUGGCUCAAGGAAGCACUAGGCUACAUUUCCCCAUAAGAGAGGCUGCCAAGGAUAAACAACUAGAUUGUCGGAUCCCACACAUAGCAAUACACGUCACACGUACGCAUACCAUGCAAGUAUGUGCUGUACAACAUGGCAUCACAACAUAACGCAACUCAUAUAGAUAAAGGCCCAGAAGAGCCACAUAGCAUUAAAUACAAACAGGGGUCACAUGACCCAUCAUUCAGAGCAUACAAGCAACGGAAGCCUUACAUGUCUGAGUACAGACAACUACAAAAGAAAAAGGCUAAGAGGCCUGACUAUCUACAUGUCCCUCCCAAGGGUACAAGAUCGUAGCUGAGGUAACAAGCUACUCGUCGAAGUCCAAGCGGUACUACUAGUGAGACAGAAGUCUCCGCUGCAAAAACAUAAAUAAAGCAACGUGAGUACAAAGGUACUCAGCAAGACUUACAUCAGAUCCUAUCAUACAUGCAUUAGUAUCAAGGAGGCAAUGUGGGGUUCAGUUGCAGCAAACCAGCUUUGACUCAGUGGCUAACCUGUACUACGACUGCUGGUAACUCUUUGAAGGUGGCGCACACGAGUCCACUAAUCACCACGUCAAUACUGUACUAUGGAUUCAUUCCCGUCUCCCUACAGGAGGCCAUCCAUAGCACUCACACUUGUCUUGAGCAUUUUAGGGUAUCCACGUUAAGUUGUCUAUGUACCACGUAAGCAUCCAAGAAGUCCAUAACCGAGGACACGACUAUUCGAAUAGAUCAUGAUAACCCUGCAGGGGUGUACUUCUUCACACACGCUCUCACCACUUAUCACCAUGUACAUGUCAUGUAUCUCGGCAACCUUCAAGCGGAAGCCUGGCGAGGGUGUCGGCCACGACCUGACUAACCACACAAGACUCUAGUCCAGGUUUAUCGCCUAUUUGGGUUCCAUCCGCAAGGAGAUCCGGCCGGGGUGUCGCUCACGGCCCCAAACGAUGUGUUCAGGGUUCCCAAGCCCACCUCGCCGGAUGGAUCUACGCUUGGUACACCGUGCCACUUGUGUCUAGUCUGUCCCAAGCCCACAUGGUCGGGUGCCACUUGGUAGACUACUAACAGUACCUACAAACACCAGAAACUAUUUGCGAGUCCUGGACAGAGAUCAAGUUGGUUAAUAAGUCGAGAGAGCUUGGAGCGCCCGGAGCCCAAUGUGUGGUAGUAGCUAGUCAUUGGACAACAUACACAGAACUCAGUUCUUAGGGACAGUUCCAGUGAGACAACCCACCAUGUACUCCUACAUGGCCUCUCACCACUACCUUUACCAAAUCAUGUUCACACGCUUAACUCUCAGCACCAGAACAUAUCGUACCACUCCAAUUCAUUCCCGAUGAAUCAGACCUGACACAACUCUAAGCAAUAACAGGCAUGGCAUGGCAGGAACACAACAUGGCUCAAUCAACUCCUACACAUGCUAGUGGGUUUUAACUAUUUACUGUGGCAAUGACAGGUCAUGCAGAGGAAUGGGUUCAACUACCGCAGCAUAAAGUAGCAGUUGAAUCGUUGUUGUCCUAAUGCAAUAAAAGAGAGCAGAAGCGAGAGAGUUGGAUCAUAUCGGAAUGAACAAGGGGGUUUGCUUGCCUGGUAGAUCAACAGGGGGCACUGGUCCUUUGACAAGUACUCUAGAUCGGUCUUCGGAGCAGGACCUAUCGAGAAGGAACGGUGUCGACAAUCAAACACAAGCAUAUGCAACAAUAUGAUGCAUGAUCAUGGCAUGAGUAUGUGAUGUUUGUUUGAGUUAAUGCAUCUAGCAUUCAUUUGCAUGAAAUCCAUUUGAACCAAAGUUUCAAAUGCAACUUCAAAAUAAGCCUUUAUAAAUGCCAUUCAUGUGUUUCCUCAUAUAUAGCAUGUAUAAGUUGGUUUUUCAUGCAUGAAAAUGGUACAGAUGGAUAGAUUGAAUUUUUCUGAUAAUUUAUCAUAUAUAAUUUGUUUCAUUUGGAGUUACGGUUGAAUUACUAUGAAUUUUUGAAGUUUAUACUAAUUUCUGGAAUUUUCUAGGUUAUUUUAAAUCUAGAAAAUGUUAACUGCAUCAGCAUGACGAUAGCGCGACCUCAACAGGUCAACAGCGCCAGCCAGGUCAAACCUGACGGCUGGGACCCGCACGUCAGUGUAACAGCGUCAGCAGCAGAGGCUGACCUGUGGGGCCCGGGCAUUAGCUUAAUUUAAACAGGGAAUAACCCUGUGGCUAAUUAAGGGGUGGGGCCCGUCUGUCAAUGACACAGGUGUCUGCAAAACACGUGAUUAACCUAAUCUAAUGACGCCAGGUCAACGAACAGCGUUUAGCCGCCGGUGACGAAAUCCCUCGGCGAUGGCUCGCCGGAGUUGCUCGGGACGGCGCUACGGGCGUCGGCUGGACGCGCGAAGACCACCAGAGGGUAGCCCACGCUCUCCCGCAUCCAGAGGAGCAGGUGGGUGGCUGUGGGGGCACCGGAGUUCGCCGGAACGGAGCUCGCGGUAGUGGUCGGAGUUCGGGCGUCGAACGAGUCGACGGUGCAGAGCAUGGCAGGAGCUGCGGUUAGGCGCGUCGGACUCGUGGGGGUGCGGGGAGUGCGUUAGGCACUAGCGGUGACCAAAAGGUCACCGGAGUGACGCCGACGUCGAGCUCGUGCGGCGGAGCGGCUCGGCUCCGGUAGAGGAGGCGGCUAGAGGAUGCGUACAAGCGCGGGGAGCAGGGGAGAAGAUGGCGGAGCUCACAGCGGGGUCGGAGACGGUCUCAACGAGCUCGGGAAGGCGGAGAUGGCGGCAAAUCGGCACGUGUGGCUUCCGGCGAUUGAGGAGGAAGAAGACGAGGCAGCCGGCGAUGCAGGCCGUGCCGGCGCUCGGGGCCAGGGUGGGGCGGAGCGUCGGACGAUGGCGGAGGCCGUGGAUAGCGCGGGGAGGCGAGGGGAGCACGGUGGCCGUGGCAAACGGCAUCGGCGGCGACGAGCUCUGCUCGGGCUACGCGGGAGAGACAACAGAGGAGGGGAAAGGUCGGGAGAGAGUGAGAGGUGUUCAGGGGGGUGCGUGUCGCCCUCGGGUGCCUCCGGCGGCGAGCAGGGAAGCAGGAGGUGGCCGGCGUGUGCUCGCGCGCGGCGACCACGCGCCCUUCGUCCUCCUGGCAAGAGGAGGAAGAUGACAGGGGAGGUGGGGAUGGGCCGGGCUGGCUAGUUGGGCUGCACAGUGCCAGGCCGCAGGUAAGGUCCAGGUAGGUUUUUCCAUUUCUUUUCUAUUUUCUGACAUUUGUUUUGAUUUAACAACAAUACUAACUAUUUUAUUUUCUUAUGCCAACUUUUGUAGGAGCUAGUGGUAUUACUUGAGAGCUCCUCAACAACUAGCAUAAGUUUUGGACAUAUAUUAUAUGUAUAUCAUAUAUAUAUCCAAUGCAAAUAAUUACUGGAUUAAUUCCAAAAGGCCAAAAUAAAUAUUUAUGAGCUCCUGAAAAUAUUUGUUUGAAUUUUACUUCUGACCAAUAUUUUCAGAGAGCAACAUGAAAAUUUUCUUGGACCUUUUUGGAGCAAUUUUUAUCUGGGUCAUUUCCAGAAAUGAAUUCUGAGGGUUUCACAAAUCCCCAUUUCAAAUUUCAAUGAAAUUUAAACAUGAUGCACAAAUGACUAGCUGGUCUAGGUCAUACCAGAACUAGGGAUGUGACAACUCGCCCCCACUUAGAAAAAUCUCGUCCCGAGAUUCAGGAGUUGGCGGAAAGAAAGUGGGGUACUCCAGUCGAAGACGAUCUUCACGCUCCCAAGUAGCUUCUCUCUCGGAAUGAUGAGACCACCAAACCUUGAGAAACUUGAUGUUAUGACGUCGUUGACAUGCUCGGCUUGAUCAAGGAUGCAAACAGGGUACUCUCGAUAAGUGAGGUUAUCUUGGAGAUCAAGCGUUUCGUGGUCCACUCCGCGGAUGGGAUCCGAGAAGCAACGCCUGAGUUGGGAGACAUGGAAGACAUCAUGAACUCGAGAAAGAUGUGGUGGUAGUUCCAACUGGUAGGCAACCUCUCCUCGUUAAGCGAGAAUGAGAAAGGGACCAAUAUAACAAGGAGCCAACUUGCCCUUGAUACCGAAACGAUGGGUACCCUUCAAAGGGGUAACCCGAAGGUAAGCUUUGUCGCCAACUUCAUAAGCCACUUCCUUAUGACGACGGUCAUACUGGCUCUUUUGACGAGAUUGGGCUGUUUUCAAAUUCUCACGAAUGAUGCGAACUUACUCUUCUGCCUCCUGGAUCAUAUCCGGUCCAAAGAAUUGUCUUUCACCGGUUUCUGACCAGUUCAAAGGUGUUCGACAUCUUCGUCCAUACAGAACCUCAAAAGGAGCUUUCUUGAGGCUGGAUUGGUAGCUGUUGUUAUUAGAAAACUUGACGAAGGGAAGACACUUCUCCCAAUCCAUACCGAAUGAGAUAACACAAGCUCUAAGCAUGUCUUCGAGAAUUUGGUUGACCCUUUCCACCUGACCACUUUAUUGAGGGUGGAAAGCGUUACUGAAGGAAAGAUGGGUGCCCAUGGCAGUUUGGAAACUCUCCCAGAAAUGAGAGGUGAAAAGACUACCACGGUCUGAAUUGAUCUCUAGUGGAACACCAUGAAGUGACACUAUUUGAGAAAUAUAUAAGUUAGCAAGCUGACUAGCAGUGAUGCUCUCUCGAACAGGUAGGAAGUGAGCCACUUUGGAAAGACGAUCAAUGACUACGAAGAUAGUGUUAUUCCCUCUCUUGGUCCUGGGAAGGCCGGUGAUGAAGUCCAUACCAACUUUGUCCCAUUUCCACUCAGGAAUAGCUAAAGGUUGAAGGGUGCCAGCAGGCCUUUGAUGUUCUGCCUUAACGCGAUGACAAACUUCGCAGUUAGCAAUAAACUAAGCAAUUUCUCUCUUCAUCCUAGUCCACCAGAACCUCUGGCAUAGGUCCUGAUACAUCUUAGUACUACCGGGAUGAAUCGUGAGAGGAUAUUCAUGGGUCUCCUUAAGAAUCAGUUGUCGCAGAUGUUGAUUCUUGGGAACCACCAAACGAUUCUCAAAGAAAACAACACCUCGAUCAUCUAAGGAGAAAAUGCCACCAACUCCCUUGUCAAUGUUUCUCUUGAUCCAGGAAAUUCCCGUAUCCUGCUUCUGAGCAGAGAUGAUUUGAUCCACAAGAGUAGGUUUCGCCACCAAGGUAGAAAGGAAUCCAUGAGGAGCAAUGUGAAGGUUAAGCUUACAGAAUUCCUCAUGGAGAAGUGGUUGGCCCUGCUGCAACAUAAGAUUGUUGCAAUAGGACUUACGACUUAGCGCAUCAGCCAUGACAUUGCCCUUGCCUGGGGUGUAGGUAAUCCCUAAGUCGUAAUCUGAGAUCAACUCCAACCAACGUCUUUGCCUAAGGUUCAAAUCUAGUUGGGUGAAGAUAUACUUGAGACUCUGGUGAUCGGUGUAAAUCUCGCAACGCUUACCAAGAAGGUAAUGUCGCCAGGUCUUAAGUGCAUAGACUACGGCUGCAAGCUCUAGAUCAUGCGUAGGAUAAUUCUCCUCAUGUGGAUGCAACUGUCGAGAUGCGUAGGCAAUCACAUGGCGAUCUUGCAUAAGAAUGCAACCUAGUCCUUGUCGUGAGGCAUCACAAUAGAUAACAAAGUCCUUAGUGAAAUCCAGUGGCACAAGUAUGGGAGCAGAGGUCAGGCGUCUUUUCAGUUCCUGAAAACUAUGCUCACACUGUGGGGGCCACUCAAACUUUUUAUCUUUCUUGAGAAGUUCCGUGAGAGGUUUGGCCACUUUGGAGAAGUUCUCAACGAAGCGGCGACAAUAGCUGGCUAGGCCAAGGAAACUCCUAACUUGCUUAACUGUUUCAGGCGGAGUCCAAUCAAGAACGGCCUGAACUCUCUUGGGAUUGACAGCAAUGCCCUUACCAGAUAUCACGUGGCCAAGAUAGGUCACUUCUGGAAACCAAAAUUCACACUUGGAGAACUUGUCAUAAAGGCGGUGCUCUCUGAGUUUCUCUAACACAAGUCUAAGAUGUUCGGCAUGUUCUUCCUCGUUCUUCGAGUAAAUAAGGAUAUCAUCGAGGUAAACCACGACGAACUUAUCUAAGUACUCCAUGAAGAUCGAGUUCAUCAAGCGGGAGAAUGUGGCUGGAGCAUUAGUUAGACCAAAGGACAUGAGAGUGUACUCAUACUGGCCAUAACGAGUGACAAAAGCCGUCUUAGGAAUGUCCCCAUUUCUGAUCUUGAUUUGGUGGUAGCCUAACCUCAAAUCCAUCUUGGAAAAGACUGAGGAUCCAGCGAGCUGAUCAUAUAGGUCGUUGAUCCUGGGGAGCGGAUACUUGUUUUUUAUCGUGACCAAAUUAACGGGACGAUAAUCUACAACCAUCCGGUCCGUACCAUCCUUCUUCUUAACGAAGAGAACGGGGCAAGACCAAGGAGAAGAACUAGGACAGAUGAAACCCUUUUGCAAGGACUCAUCAAGUUGUUUCUUAAGCUCAGCUAGUUCUAAGGGUGCCAUCUUGUAAGGUCUCUUAGAGAUUGGAGCGGUUCCUGGGAUAAGAUCUAUGACAAAUUCUACAUCUCUGUCAAGUGGAACACCUGGCAGUUCUUCUGGAAAGACAUCCGGAAAGUCAUGGACUACCGGGAUAUCCUCAAGGUCUGGAAGAGGGCUGGCAUUAAGGGAAUAAAGCUGACACUUUGCAAUUCUGGUGGAGACAGUGACUAUCUUGCCAGAUGGGUGUGUAAGCUGAACAGACCUGGUGUAACAAUCAAUCUUGGCAUAAUGAGCUUUCAUCCAGUCCAUACCCAAGAUGAUGUUAAUAUCUGAAGACUUAAGAGAUAUCAAGGAAGCUAGGAAUACAAGUAUGUCAACAUGUAUUUCAUUGCCAUAACUUAUCCUAGAAGUUUGCCAUUUGGAUCCAGGAGUUUGAAUGAGUAGUGGGGAGGGCAUAUCACAAAAUGACAUGUCGUGCAAGUGGGCAUAACUUUCGGAAAUGAAGGAGUGAGAUGCUUCGGUAUCGAAUAGAACCGAAGCUGGAUGACAAUUGACAAGGAGUGUACCAAGAAUGACAUCUAGAUCAUCAUGAGCGUCUUUAGCUGAGACGUGAUGCACACGUCCAAGUUCAGUGGGAGCUGACUCGGCACUGAUCAUCUGGUGUGAUGGCUUACUACCACGGCCGACAGACUUCUCGGGCUGGGGUGGAGCAACACGGGUCUGAGUGCAAAUACGGGCAAUGUGGCCUGGCUCUCCGCACUUGUAACAAAUCUUGGAGGUAGGACAUGGACCCGCAUUGACAAGUGGUCUACCAAUAGGCAUGGGUGUAGCAUAUGGCUGAACUGGGUGAGGCGCCACAUAAGAUGGCGUCGGUGUGUAGCCGGGUGGAAGAGCAGAGUUCGGAACCCAAAUCCGGCGCUUCUGAGAACUAGAACCGGAGUAAGAACCCAAAUCACAGGUGUGCUUACGAGACUCCUCGUAAGUGAGUUGAGCUGUCUCUGCAUUAAUGGCCUUGUUCACAAGAGCCUGGAAUGUAUCACAAUGGUGCAAGUGGAGAUCACGACACAACUUGGGGUUGAGACCCUUCCGGAACCUAGCCUGCUUCUUGGCAUUUGUGCACACCUCUUCUGUAGCAUAGCGGGCAAGGUUCUCAAAUUCCCUACUGUAAGCAUCAACAGCCAUCUUACUCUGGGUGAAACUACAGAACUCUUCUCUCUUGCGGUCAACGAGGGCUUCAGGAAUGUGAUGCUCGCGAAAAGCCUCAGUGAAAUCUCUCUAGGUAGGAAUCUGACCAGCUGGAAGCAUAGCCUCAUAGUUUUGUCACCAAAGACUAGCAGGACCUUCCAGGUGAUAUGCAGCAUAGGUGACCUUGUCACCUUCAGCUAUGUUCGCAGAACGCAGCUUAAUGGUGAUACUACGGAUCCAGUCAUCUGCAUCGAGUGGUUCAAUGGAAUGAUGGAAGGUAGGUGGUUUCAGACCAAUGAAAUCAUAGAUGGUCGCUGACUCCUUGCACUGGGGUGCGGUGUUCUCCUCGAUACGUGCUAACAAGCUGUUGGUCUCACGCUUGUUCAUCUCAACCUCUAACAUGAACUUUGCCAACGAAGACUGAUCGGGAGGAUCCUCAUCCCUACCAUUUCCGUGGUUCCAGCUACAAGCAACAGAACUUCGAUUAACCGGCAACAUCCUGAAGAACGAAACCAAGGAAAACAAGGAUGGAUUCAGCACCAACUAUAGGAUGUAGAAGGUAGCACAAGAAUUUAGUAUCUCUCAAACUCCUAGGACAAUUCCGGCAGCAUAACGGCAGUAAAAUGCUCAAAAUGAGACAUCCUGCAAAUGAUGGGGUAGCACCAUACUCAACAUCAUCACUCAAGGUUCUGAGAUAUUACUGAACAUGCUACACUGGAGGUACUCGAACUGGGAUAUGACUCAGAUCAACCCAUCCUAAGAGACUACAGAGUAGUAACUCGUGAUCCUGAUAGACAGAAGAGGAAUCCUAGUUCCUUAACCCCAUAGGAAGGAUAGGAUGACUCAGAUCAGAAGGGCAUGAGGUAUAAGGAGUAAAAAGAGCCUUACAUUCCCUUCCACAAUCAAUUCCCCUAUAUAGCUAAAGAAUUUCUAGACUCAACUUCGACCAGGUUGGCUUGGUAAUUCUACAGGCAGCCAGGCUCUGAUACCAAAGCUGUCGGGACCCCGAUUCCAAGUCACAUCGAUCUAGCCGGUAACACCUCAUAUCACUUUGCGGCCUCACGCACGGUAUUCCCACGGGUGUCGCCUUACCCUGACCCGGGACCGUUUGCGCCUUUUGGCUCACGUAUAUGAUUGUGUCGCUAGCAUCCAUAUGACAGAGAACCCAAACCGACAUGGCUAGUCGUGAACCCAAAGCGACACUAACCUAUGGGGACAGGCAUACAUGAUUCACAUCGAGCAUGUCGGUCAGCAGCGUGUGAAUCUGGGCUGUAGCACUGGGCUAACAGGACUUCGGGGAACCUGGGCUGUAGCAGGCUAGGCAGGACUCCGGAUGUCACCACGUGACAUUUCCCCGAAGGGACAGACACAGGAACAAAGUGAAACACAUGCCGGCCGGUCAAGUGUCCUGAGCAGUAGUGCUGGGCUAGCAGGACUCCGGUGAACCGGGCUGUAGCGGACUACUAUGGCUCAAGGAAGCACUAGGCUACAUUUCCCCAUAAGAGAGGCUGCCAAGGAUAAACAACUAGAUUGUCGGAUCCCACACAUAGCAAUACACGUCACACGUACGCAUCACAUGCAAGUAUGUGCUAUACAACAUGGCAUCACAACAUAACGCAACUCAUAUAAAUAAAGGCCCAGAAGAUCCACAUAGCAUUAAAUACAAACAGGGGUCACAUGACCCAUCAUUCAGAGCAUACAAGCAACGGAAGCCUUACAUGUCUGAGUACAGACAACUACAAAAGAAAAAGGCUAAGAGGCCUGGCUAUCUACAAGUCCCUCCCAAGGGUACAAGAUCGUAGCUGAGGUAACAAGCUACUCGUCGAAGUCCAAGCGGUACUACUAGUGAGACAGAAGUCUCCGCUGCAAAAACAUAAAUAAAGCAACGUGAGUACAAAGGUACUCAGCAAGACUUACAUCAGAUCCUAUCAUACAUGCAUUAGUAUCAAGGAGGCAAUGUGGGGUUCAGUUGCAGCAAACCAGCUUUGACUCAGUGGCUAACCUGUACUACGACUGCUGGUAACUCUUUGAAGGUGGCGCACACGAGUCCACUAAUCACCACGUCAAUACUCUACCAUGGAUUCAUUCCCGUCUCCCUACGGGAGGCCAUCCAUAGCACUCACACUUGUCUUGAGCAUUUUAGGGUAUCCACGUUAAGUUGUCUAUGUACCAUGUAAGCAUCCAAGAAGUCCAUAACCGAGGACACGACCAUUCGAAUAGAUCAUGAGAACCCUGCAGGGGUGUACUUCUUCACACACGCUCUCACCACUUAUCACCAUGUACACGUCAUGUAUCUCGGCAACCUUCAAGCGGAAGGCUGGCGAGGGUGUCGGCCACGACCUGACUAACCACACAAGACUCUAGUCCAGGUUUAUCGCCUAUUCGGGUUCCAUCCGCAAGGAGAUCCGGCCGGGGUGUCGCUCACGGCCCCAAAUGAUGUGUGCAGGGUUCCCAAGCCCACCUCGCCGGAUGGAUCUACGCUUGGUACACCGUGCCACUUGUGCCUAGUCUGUCCCAAGCCCACCUGGCCGGGUGCCACUUGGUAGACUACUAACAGUACCUACAAACACCAGAAACUAUUUGCGACUCCUGGACAGGGAUCAAGUUGGUUAAUAAGUCGAGAGAGCUUGGAGCGCCUAGAGCCCAAUGUGUGGUAGUAGCUAGUCAUUGGACAACAUACACAGAACUCAGUUCUUAGGGACGGUUCCAGUGAGACAACCCACCAUGUACUCCUACAUGGCCUCUCACCGCUACCUUUACCAAAUCAUGUUCACACGCUUAACUCUCAGCACCAGAACAUAUCGUACCACUCCAAUUCAGUCCCGAUGAAUCAGACCUAACACAACUCUAAGCAAUAGCAGGCAUGGCAUGGCAGGAACACAACAUGGCUCAAUCAACUCCUACACAUGCUAGUGGGUUUUAACUAUUUACUGUGGCAAUGAUAGGUCAUGCAGAGGAAUGGGUUCAACUACUGCAUCAUAAAGUAGCAGUUGAAUCAUUGUUGUCCUAAUGCAAUAAAAGAGAGCAGAAGCGAGAGAGUGGGAUCAUAUCGGAAUGAACAAGGGGGUUUGCUUGCCUGGUAGAUCAACAGGGGGGCACUGCUCCUCUGAUAGGUACUCUGGAUCGGUCUCCGGAGCAGGACCUAUCGAGAAGGAACGGUGUCGACAAUCAAACACAAGCAUAUGCAACAAUAUGAUGCAUGAUCAUGGCAUGAGUAUGUGAUGUUUGUUUGAGUUACUGCAUCUAGCAUUCAUUUGCAUGAAAUCCAUUUGAACCAAAGUUUCAAAUGCAACUCCAAAAUAAGCCUUUAUAAAUGCCAUUCAUGUGUUUCCUCAUAUACAGCAUGUAUAAGUUGGUUUGUCAUGCAUGAAAAUGGUACAGAUGGAUAGAUUGAAUUUUUCUAAUAAUUUUUCAUAUAUAAUUUGUUUCAUUUGGAUUUACGGUUGAAUUACUAUGAAUUUUUGAAGUUUAUACUAAUUUCUAGAAUUUUCUGGGUUAUUUUAAAUCCAAAAAUUGUUAACUGCAUCAGCAUGAUGACAACGCGGCGUCAGCAGGUCAACAGCGCCAGCCAGGUCAAACCUGACGGCUAGGACCCGCACGUCAGUGUAACAGCGUCAGCAGGAGAGGCUGACCUGUGGGGCCCGGGCAUUAGCUUAAUUUAAACAGGGAAUAACCCUGUGGCUAAUUAAGGGGUGGGGUCCGUUUGUCAACGACACAGGUGUCUGCAAAACACGUGAUUAACCUAAUCUAAUGACGCCAGGUCAACGAACGGCGUUUAGCUGUCGGUGACGAAAUCCUGCGGCGGUGGCUCGCCGGAGUUGCUCGGGACGGCGCUACGGGCGUCGGCUAGACGCGCGAAGACCACCAGAGGGUAGCCCGCGCUCUCCCGCAUCCAGAGGAGCUGGUGGGUGGCUGCGGGGGCACUGGAGCUCGCCGGAACGGAGCUCGCGGCGGUGGCCGGAGUUUGGGCGUCGAACGAGUUGACGGUGCAGAGCAUGGCAGGAGCCGCGGUUAGGCGCGUCAGACUCGUGGGGGUGCGGGGAGUGUGUUAGGCACCAGCGGUGACCAAAAGGUCACCGGGGUGACGCCGGCGUCGAGCUCGUGUGGCGGAGCGGCUUGGCUCUGGUAGAGGAGGCGGCUAGAGGAUGCGUACAAGCGCGGGGAGCAGAGGAGAAGAUGGAGGAGCUCACAGCGGGGUUGGAGACGGUCUCAGCGAGCUCGGGGAGGCGGAGACGACGGCAAAUCGGCGCGUGUGGCUUCCAGCGACCGAGGAGGAAGAAGACGAGGCAGCCAGCGAUGCAGGCCGUCCCAGCGCUUGGGGCCAGGGUGGGGCGGAGCGUCGGACGAUGCCGGAGGCCGUGGACAGCGCGGGGAGGCGAGGGGAGCAUGGUGGCCGUGGCAAACGGCGUCGGCGGCGACGAGCUCCGCUCGGGGUGCGCGGGAGAGAGAGCAGAGGAGGGGGGAAAGGUCAGGAGAGAGUGAGAGGUGUUCAGGGGGGGUGCGUGUCGCCCUCGGGUGCCUCCAGCGGCGAGCAGGGAAGCAGGAGGUGGCCGGCGUGUGCUUGCGCGCGGCGACCACGCGCCCUUCGUCCUCCUGGCCAGAGGAGGAAGACGACAGGGGAGGUGGGGAUGGGCUGGGCUAGCUAGUUAGGCUGCACAGUGCCAGGCCGCAGGUAAGGUCCAGGUAGGUUUUUCCAUUUCUUUUCUUUUCUAUUUUCUGAUAUUUUUUUGAUUUAACAACAAUACUAACUAUUUUAUUUUCUUAUGCCAACUUUUUUAGGAGCUAGUGGUAUUAUUCCAGAGCUCCUCAACAACUAGCAUAAGUUUUGGACAUAUAUUAUAUGUAUAUCAUAUAUAUAUAUCCAAUGCAAAUAAUUACUGGAUUAAUUCCAAAAGGCUAAAAUAAAUAUUUAUGAGCUCCUGAAAAUAUUUGUUUGAAUUUUACUUCUGACCAAUAUUUUCAGAGAGCAACAUGAACAUUUUCUUGGGCCUUUUUGGAGCAAUUUUUAUCUGGGUCAUUUCUAGAAAUGAAUUCUGAGGGUUUCACAAAUCCCCAUUUCAAAUUUCAAUGAAAUUUAAACAUGAUGCACAAAUGACUAGCUGGUCUAGGUCAUACCAGAACUAGGGAUGUGACAGCGCGUCGCCAUUCGGUUGGUCACCUCAUCACCACUCGGCCGCCCCGCGCGUCGCGAUUGGUUGGUCACCUUAUCACCACUCGGCGACCCCGCGCGUCACCAUCGGUUGGUCACCUCAUAACCACUGGGCCGCCUCGCGCGUCGUCAUCGGUUGGCCACCUCAUAACCACUCGGCCGCCCCGCACGCCGUCAUCGGUUGGUCACCUCAUAACCACUCGGCCGCUCCACGCGUCGCCACUCGGUUNNNNNNNNNNNNNNNNNNNNNNNNNNNNNNNNNNNNNNNNNNNNNNNNNNNNNNNNNNNNNNNNNNNNNNNNNNNNNNNNNNNNNNNNNNNNNNNNNNNNNNNNNNNNNNNNNNNNNNNNNNNNNNNNNNNNNNNNNNNNNNNNNNNNNNNNNNNNNNNNNNNNNNNNNNNNNNNNNNNNNNNNNNNNNNNNNNNNNNNNNNNNNNNNNNNNNNNNNNNNNNNNNNNNNNNNNNNNNNNNNNNNNNNNNNNNNNNNNNNNNNNNNNNNNNNNNNNNNNNNNNNNNNNNNNNNNNNNNNNNNNNNNNNNNNNNNNNNNNNNNNNNNNNNNNNNNNNNNNNNNNNNNNNNNNUCAUCACCACUCGACCGCCCCGCGUGUCUCCAUCGGUUGGUCACCUCAGCACCACUCGUCCGCCUCGCGCGUCGUCAUCAGUUGGUCACCUCAUCACCACUCGGCCGCCCGGCGCGUCGUCACUCGAUUGGUCACCUCAUCACCACUCGGCCGCUCCGCGCAUCGCCACGCGGUUGGUCACCUCAUAACCAUUCGGCCACUCUCGCGCCUUCACACAGCUAAGUCAAUUUAUAUUUUAUUAUUUCCAUCUUCCUGAGUAUCCCGUAAUUCACACGUCACGUUCACUCGGAGGCCACGCCAGCGAGUGUACCUCUACGCUCGGCUGCUUAUUUUCACAUACUUGCUUAGUACUGGUUAUGUGACUCCCGAGUCCAACUUCCAUUUUUUCGCGUACGUCAUUCACGAACACCAUGUGUCAUUCUUCAUUUCGAGUUUGCAUCGUUCCUCCGGGGCUGCAACUCAGUCGAAACACUACACUUCCAUUUUAUUUGAGCCAGUAUUCCAAUGAGUUCAGUCAAAUCCAUUGGUUCGACAAGUUUGAACGGAUCCUUCGCUCUUUCAGACUCUUGCUGGUCAACCAGCAAGCCCCUUGCACUCCCAGCGGGUGUUUAUGGGUGUUAUUCACACAAAUCAUUUCAGCACACAUCAAAUUUCCUCGAUAAAUUAUUUCGUUGGCUUGUGCCAUUUUUUACACAAGUUACACGAUCACUCGACGACUCUAUGCACCAACUUCAUCGCUGCUCGGACUCGGUCACCGUACCGGUCCUAGCGCACCACAACACCGACCUUGUCGCUCUGUUGACUUCAAACACAUCCGACCAACCCCUCUAUGGAAUCCUCUUCAUCGUAUCAGUGAUAUAGACCUCGUUAGGCAUGAGACAUAUAAGUCCCUUUUAUAAUUAAACUUCACAAUUCACUCCUUUGCGAGUUUGUCUCUUUCGAGCAUCACUCGGAAGCUUCUCCUCAUCUUUACCUGAGUCCGACAAGAUGAAUUGCAAAUCAUCCAUUCAAAACUAUAUUUCUUGUAUUCCGACAUGUUCGUUGUCGAAGCCUGUAGUAUGCUCGGGGGCUACGCCUCACUCGGGGGUUGCAUCUAAUUUGGAAUGACACUCUCCUGAGUAGUCGAGUACUUCAUCACCAGUCAGAUCCUUCACUUCAACAAGUGCAUUCGAUCUGCCACUUUGACAAGUUUUAUAAUCACCCAGACGCUCUGCACGCCACCUUCAUUCCUACUUAGACUCGGUUGUCACGCCGGUCUUGUUGCGUCGCAACCACACUACACCGACCUCGUCGCUACAUUAGCUUUGAAAGCACCUGGCUAACUUCUUCGAAGACCAUUUCAACCACUUGGCUGGACACCCAAUAAUUCACUCGGCUGCCCCGCACGUCAUCACUUGGCCAUGCCGCGCGUCGUCACUCGGCCAUCCCGCACGUCACCACUCGGUUGUGCACGUCUUCACCACUCAGCCGCUCCGCGCAUCGCCUCUCGGUUGUGCAUGCCUUCACCACACGACCGCCCCGUGCGUCACCACUCUGGUGUGCACGUCUUCACCACUCGGCCACUCCGCGCGUCGCCUCUGGGUUGUGCAUGCCUUCACCACAUGGCCGCCCCGCGCGUCACCACUCGGUUGUGCACGUCUUCACCACUCGGUCGCCCCGCACGUCGUCACUCUGUUGUACACAUCCUUGCCCCUCGGUCGCCCCACACAUCNNNNNNNNNNNNNNNNNNNNNNNNNNNNNNNNNNNNNNNNNNNNNNNNNNNNNNNNNNNNNNNNNNNNNNNNNNNNNNNNNNNNNNNNNNNNNNNNNNNNNNNNNNNNNNNNNNNNNNNNNNNNNNNNNNNNNNNNNNNNNNNNNNNNNNNNNNNNNNNNNNNNNNNNNNNNNNNNNNNNNNNNNNNNNNNNNNNNNNNNNNNNNNNNNNNNNNNNNNNNNNNNNNNNNNNNNNNNNNNNNNNNNNNNNNNNNNNNNNNNNNNNNNNNNNNNNNNNNNNNNNNNNNNNNNNNNNNNNNNNNNNNNNNNNNNNNNNNNNNNNNNNNNNNNNNNGCCACUCGGUUGUGCACAUCUUCACCACUCGGCCGCCCCGCGCAUUGCCACUUAGUUAUGCAUGUCUUCAUCACUCGACCACCUCGCACAUCAUGACUCGGCCGCCCCGCACGUCGCCACUCAGUUGGGCACGUCUUCACCACUCGGCCGCUCCACGCGUCGCCACUCGGUUGUGCACUUCUUCACCACUCGGCCGCCCCACGCGUCACCACUCAGUUGUACACAUCAUCGCUCCUUAGCCGCCUCGCGCGUCACCAUUAGUUGGACAUGUCUUUACCUCUACACCCCCAGCACAGGAAUGACUAAGUUACUCAUAUGAUCAAACCUCAUAUCACACUCUGUAGCAAGCUUACCUCUUUCGAGCAUCACUCAGGGGCUACACAUAGCCGUUGGCCAUGCUGCCCUCAGGGGUUACGCCCAUUCGAUCAACCCAUUGAUCACAUCAGGAAUAUCUUUCUGACCAUACAUGCUCGUUCUUCCGAAAAUAUAUAAGGGUAGUACUGUCCACUCGGAAGAUCGCCCAAAUCAUUGCCUAAAGUCGUCUUCAGGACUGCAAAAGGGUGAAAACAACGCUCCUCUAUGGAUACACUUGGCCCUAUCCUAGGCUCCAAGGCGUCAGUUUCACAAACUUGGACUCAGAGAUGGCAUGUGCUGGUGUUCCCCCGAGAUAAUGAGUGGCCUCUCUCUGGAGAGUCAGCCCACACACUAGCCUCGUCACAUGGGUUUCAUGGCAUGUGCAUGUCAGACCACUAGUCUAUCUCCUCCGGAAGACAUACAAGUGCCACCAAGUUUUUCCUUGCAGUCAACAUACCCCGAACAGUCGGGAAGCAUGUCCACUCGGAUAAAUACCCCUUUCAUGCAAAAGGGUGAAAAUGAAGCUCCUCUACGGAUACAAUGUACUCUUACAAAUACCCCUCUCAUGCAAAAUCUAAUGAUCAAUAUAAGAAGUACUACUGGAAUGAUUACUCCCUGGAGUGUCCAGCUUUUUUCUACAAUCGGCAGUUUCAAAGCCGAAUUCAUUCACCGUGCCAAGAGCACGAAGAUUCAGCUGCUUGACCGAGUUCCAUGCUGAAUUUAUUCUGUGCCGAGUGCACGAAGAUUAUUCCGACUGAUUCAGCUCUAGGCUGAGCUUAUUUACCAUGUCAAGCGUCUGAAGAUGCAUCCGAUUGACUCAAUUUUAGACUAAAAGAUAUUUACCAUGUCGACUGCUGAUGUCUACUACACAACCUUCUUCUUGUAGACGUUGUUGAGCCUCCAAGUGCAGAGGUUUGUAGGACAGUAGCAAAUUUCCCUCAAGUGGAUGACCUAAGGUUUAUCAUUCCGUAGGAGGCGUAGGAUGAAGAUGGUCUCUCUCAAGCAACCCUGCAACCAAAUAACAAAGAGUCUCUUGUGUCCCCAACACACCCAAUACAAUGGUAAAUUGUAUAGGUGCACUAGUUCGGCGAAGAGAUAGUGAAACAAGUGGUAUAUGGAUAGUAGAUAAAGGUAUUUGUAAUCUGAAAUAAUAAAAACAGCAAGGUAGCAAGUGAUAAAAGUGAGCAUAAACGGUAUUGCAAUGAUAGAAAACAAGGCCUAGGGUUCAUACUUUCGCUAGUGUAAGUUCCCUCAACAAUACUAACAUAAUUGGAUCACAUAACUAUCCCUCAACAUGCAACAAAGAGUCACUCCAAAGUGACUAAUAGCGGAGAACGAACGAAGAGAUUAUGGUAGGGUACGAAACCACCUCAAAGUUAUUCUUUCCAAUCAAUCCGUUGGGCUAUUCCUAUAAGUGUCACAAACAGCCCUAGAGUUCGUACUAGAAUAACACCUUAAGACACAAAUCAACCAAAACCCUAAUGUCACCUAGAUACUCCAAUGCCACCUCAAGUAUCCGUGGGUAUGAUUAUACGAUAUGCGUCACACAAUCUCAGAUUCAUCUAUUCAACCAACACAAAGGACCUCAAAGAGUGCCCCAAAGUUUCUACCAAAGAAUCAUGACGAAAACGUGUGCCAACCCCUAUGCAUAGGUUCAUGGGCGGAACCCGUAAGUUGAUCACCAAAACAUACAUCAAGUGGAUCAAUAGAAUACCCCAUUGUCACCACGGGUAUCCCACGCAAGACAUACAUCAAGUGUUCUCAAAUCUUUAAAGACUCAAUACGAUAAGAUAACUCCAAAGGGGAAACUCAAUUCAUUACAAGAGAGUAGAGGGGGAGGAGAAACAUAAGAUCCAACUAUAAUAGCAAAGCUCGCGAUACGUCAAGAUCGUGCCAAAUCAAGAACACGAGAGAGAGAUCAAACACAUAGCUACUGGUACAUACGCUCAGCCCCGAGGGUGAACUACUCCCUCCUUAUCAUGGAGAGCGCCGGGCUGAUGAAGAUGGCCACCGGUGAGGGAUCCGCCCUCAGGCAGGGUGCCGGAACAGGGUCCUGAUUGACUUUUGGUGGCUACAGAGGCUUCUGGCGGCGGAACUCCCGAUCUAAUCUCUGUUCUCGAAGUUUUAGGGUACGACGAUAUAUAUGGGUGCAGGAAGUACGUCGGAGGUGAUGGGGUUAUGUACCUAGGGUAGGGUCAUGGACCUGUUCCAAGUAACUUACCCUAGGACGUCCCUAGAAGAGGUCGCCUUCCAGUCGACCAACGAGGAUUCACUCGACUGGCCUGAAGGACUCGACCACGAAGACUCACUCGACCACCAGGAGGUCAAGAGGCACUCUGCAUUGCAACGGCCUGUAAUUAAGUAGACUUUAUGAUAGUAAAGGCACUUUAUGUGGGGCGUUACCAGUAACGCCCCAGACUUAACUCACCUUAAACCCUCUCCUACGUGGGCUGGCUGGGGUCCUGGCACACUCUAUAUAAGCCACCCCCCUCCACAGGCAGAAGGGUUCGGCACCUUGUAAUCCAUACAUUCAUAAUCCACUCGACCGCCUCCGGGCUCCGAGACGUAGGGCUGUUACUUCUUCCGAGAAGGGCCUGAACUCGUACAUCCUUUGUGCUUACAACCUCUCCAUAGCUAGGACCUUGCCUCUCCAUACCUACCCCCACUCUACUGUCAGGCUUAGAACCACGACAGUUGGCGCCCACCGUGGGGCAGGUGUUUUAGCGAUUUUGUGGAGAAGUUGCGAUUCUUCUGAGUAUUUUCAUCAUGGUGUCUGCUGGAGUUUUGAUCGAGGGUCAAGAGAUCCGUCUCGGCACUCUCACCUUCAUCGCCGACGACUCCGCAUGGCUCCAGGAGGCUCCACUCGACGUAGAUGCGCUCCCCGUCCGCGGUGCGACGCAUUUUCGCGCAUGUGUCCGCGGCGUUCUGCUGCGGCAACCAUCGACCCAGUAUCGGUCGGAUCUUCCAUCUUCCACCCUCCCGGUCUCCCGCCAGCGCAAGCGCUCAGGCCGGUCGAGGCUUCUGCGAUGGGUGAGUCACGCGGUGGCUCGCCAGUCGGCCACUACGCAAGUUGCGGCAAUCGAGCCCAACGAAUCUCUCUACGGCUUGUUCGAUCAGUCGACUGGCUCCGGAGAGACUGCAUCCGAGUGCGGAAGCAGCGAUCCAGCGGCGGAAAUCUUGAUGGUUGACAGGCCCCACAGUCCUCCUGGCUUCGCCCGUGGUGGUGGAGCAGGCGACGGCGGCGACCCUACAUGAGGCUACGAAGAGUACCAGCCCGAGCCACUCGACUCUCUGCAAAGAGAAGAGCUUCGCCGCAGGAACGAGGAUCCCUUCCGUGUUCCCAUCGCAGGAGAAACCCCCGAGGCUCGUGCCUUGGAGGAGGCGCGUCUGGCCAAUUUGGCCGAGCGCACUCGACUGGAGAACCUUCAGCGAGCACUCGACGAGCGCGCGCGGCAACGAGUUCCCGACACCAGUCGACGUCAACUCUUCCCGCCGACUCAGGUAUAUCGAACCCCGAUUCAGAAUUUAGCAGCUGCGACCCGUAUAGCAGAGUCCAUUCAGCCUUCGCAGUCAGAGGCUGGCAGAGGUUUGCUGCAGAUCAGGGAUCUGCUCCGGGCAGCAGGAGAUCAGAAUUCCGCCGUGUCUCAGUCGCGCAACAGAAUUCACAGUCGAUCUGUCACUGUGAAUACGGUUCAGUCGGCUCACAGCCCCAGAUCGCCUCCGCGGCGCGAAGGGCGUGAGAAUCGGCGAGAUCAAUAUAGCGACAGACUCGACCGAGAUGAUAGGCGUCGAGUGCCCUAUUCCCCUCCGAGGGGUGGGUCUUACGCUCCUCGGCAGCCAGAUGAUAGGCGUCAGUACAGUACAGGGCGUAGGGUUCCAGCUGACCCCAGAGAGCCAGGCUUCGACGCGCGAUCCAUUAUCGUGCAAGGGUUGGUCGACCGGAACAGAGCCCAUCGUGGUGCACUCGACAGAGAAGUGCCCACGAGCAGUCGAGUACAUGUUUCUGGUCCUGAAUGUUUCAGCAGAGCUAUCAGAGCCGCUGUUAUCCCCCCAAUUUCAGGCUGGCAACGGGAGUCAGCAAGUUCACUGGUGAGUCUAAGCCUGAAACUUGGCUUGAAGACUACCGAGUGGCAGUUCAGAUCGGUGGUGGGAACGACGAGGUGGCCAUGAAGCAUUUGCACCUCAUGUUGGAAGGUUCUGCCAGGGCAUGGUUGACUCAAUUGCCUCCUAGCAGCAUUUACACUUGGGAAGAUCUGUCCCGAGUGUUCGUCAGAACGUUCGAAGGGACUUGCAAGCGACCAGCGGGAUUGACAGAGUUGCAAGUCUGCGUGCAGAAAACCAAUGAGACUCUCAGAGAGUAUAUUCAGAGGUGGAUCACUUUGCACCACACUGUGGAAAAUGUCUCUGACCAUCAGGCAGUAUGCGCCUUCAAAGAUGGUGUCAAGAACAGAGAACUGAGUUUGAAAUUUGGUCGAACCGGUGACAUGACCUUGAGUCGGAUGAUGGAGAUUGCUACCAAGUACGCCAACGGCGAAGAAGAAGACCGACUCCGAAGCGGCAAGCACAAGCCGAGUCAGUCGGAAAAAGGAAAUUCCAGUCGGAAACAGAAGCGGAAGGCUGAACCGGCAGCUCCUGGAGAGGCUUUGGCCGUGACUCAAGGAAAGUUUAAGGGGAAACCAAAAGGAUCCUGGAACCCCAAGAAGGUGAAGGAUAAAGAAGGGAACGACGUGAUGGAUAUGCCGUGUCAUAUUCACACGAAGAAAGAUGAAGAAGGGAAUAUCAUUUACCAAAAGCACACCACUCGCCAAUGUCGACUCCUGAUCCAGCAGUUUCAGGGAAAACAGUCUAAGGACAAGGAGAAGGAGUCGGACAAAGCCGAAGACAGAGAGGACAGUGAGGGAGGAUAUCCGCAUAUCAACUCCACUCUGAUGAUCUUCGCAGAUGUGGAAAGCAGAAGUCGACUGAAAGUGAUUAACCGAGAGGUUAACAUGGUUGCCCCAGCAAAGGCAAAUUAUCUGAAGUGGUCUCAAACACCCAUCACAUUCGACCAAUCUGAUCACCCGACUCAUAUUGCCACCCCUGGGAGGCAAGCUUUGGUGGUCGAUCUAGUUGUCGAAGGCACUCGACUGACAAAGGUGCUGAUGGACGGUGGAAGUGGGCUGAAUCUGUUAUAUGCAGACACGUUGAAAGGUAUGGGCAUUCCGAUGUCCCGACUGAGCACUAGUAACAUGAGCUUCCAUGGAGUUAUACCAGGGAAGAAGGCCGAGUCACUCGGCCAAAUAGCUUUGGACGUAGUGUUUGGCGAUUCAAAGCAUUUUCGCAAAGAAAAGUUGACGUUUGAGGUCGUGGAUUUUCAAAGUGCAUAUCAUGCCAUUUUGGGGAGGCCAGCCUAUGCACGGUUCAUGGCUCGACCAUGUUACGUGUACCUCAAAUUGAAGAUGCCCGGUCCCAAAGGUGUGAUCACUGUCACCGGUGAUAGGAAAAAGGCAGAGGAGUGCUUUCAGAAGGGCUCCAAAAUUGCCGAUUCCCAAGUGACAGCGGUCGAAUUCGAAGAAUACAAGCAAAACGCAGAUCCGAGUGACUUGCUGCGAUCCAAGAAGCCCGCCACAGAAUCUGCAUUCCAGUCGUCCGGUGAGACGAAGCCUGUUCACAUUCACCCGACCGACCCCGAAGCAGCUCCGACCCGCAUCUCCACAACACUCGACCCAAAAUAGGAAGAAGCGCUCAUCCAGUUCCUCCGUGAGAACUGGGACAUUUUUGCAUGGAAGCCCGCUGACAUGCCAGGUGUUCCCAGGGGACUGGCUGAGCACCGCCUAAGAGUCGACAAGUCUGCAAAGCCAGUCAAAGAACAUCUUCGACGGUCCGCCGUCCAGAAGAGAAAGGCCAUUGGUGAAGAAGUGGCUCGACUGUUGGCGGCAGGAUUUAUCCGAGAGAUAUUCCACUCCGAGUGGCUCGCUAAUGUCGUCAUGGUUCCUAAGAAGGACAAGUCGCUCCGAAUGUGCAUUGAUUUCAAGCACAUCAACCGGGCCUGCCCGAAAGAUCACUUUCCUCUCCCUCGCAUAGAUCAAAUUGUUGACUCGACCGCGGGAUGCGAGAGGUUGUCUUUUUUAGAUGCUUACUCCGGAUACCACCAGAUCCGUCUGUAUGGGCCCGAUGAAGUAAAAACAGCUUUCAUCACUCCGUUCGGGUGCUUCUGCUAUAUCACCAUGCCAUUCGGCCUCAAGAAUGCCGGAGCCACAUUUAUGCGAAUGAUCCAGAAGUGUCUACUCACUCAAAUCAGUCGGAAUGUGGAAGCUUAUAUGGAUGAUAUUGUUGUCAAGUCACGAAAAGGUUCCGACCUGCUCGCUGACCUCGCCGAAACAUUUGCCAACCUCAGAAGGUAUGAUAUCAAGCUCAAUCCAUCAAAGUGCACAUUUGGAGUUCCUGGUGGCAAGUUACUGGGUUUUCUCGUUUCCGAACGGGGAAUCGACGCCAACCCAGAAAAGAUUGGCACUAUUCUCCGAAUGAAACGCCCUGUGCGAGUGCACGAUGUCCAGAAGCUUACUGGAUGCUUGGCCGCAUUAAGUCGAUUCAUCUCACGACUCGGUGAAAAGGCAUUGCCUCUUUACCGACUGAUGAAGAAGGCUAACAAGUUCGAGUGGACUCCAGAAGCUGAUGCAGCGUUUGCCGAGCUAAAAGCUCUGCUCUCCACCCAGCCGGUGCUCGCUGCUCCAAUCAGCAAAGAGCCUCUGUUGCUCUACAUCGCAGCCACAGGACAAGUCGUCAGUACUGUGCUAACGGUCGAGCGGGAAGAAGAAGGAAAAGCUCUCAAAGUUCAGCGCCCAGUGUAUUAUUUGUCUGAAGUCUUGACUCCAUCCAAGCAGAGAUAUCCUCAUUAUCAGAAGCUUGUGUAUGGAAUAUACAUGACCACAAAGAAGGUUGCUCAUUAUUUCUCUGACCAUUCAAUCACAGUCGUCAGCGACGCUCCACUAUCAGAGAUUUUGCACAACAGAGAUGCAACUGGUCGAGUGGCCAAAUGGGCGAUUGAACUUCUUCCCCUUGAUAUCAAGUUUGAGGCAAAGAAAGCCAUUAAGUCCCAGGCAAUAGCAGAUUUCCUCGCUGAGUGGAUCGAACAGCAGCAGCCGACUGAAGUUCACUCGGAGCAUUGGACCAUGUUUUUCGAUGGUUCUAAGAUGUUGAAUGGUUCCGGUGCUGGGGUUGUCCUGGUUUCCCCCAGAGGAGAUAAGCUCAGAUAUGUGCUCCAGAUUCACUUUGAUUCCUCCAACAAUGAGGCAGAAUAUGAGGCCCUCCUAUAUGGGUUGCGCAUGGCCAUUUCACUCGGCGUCCGUCGCCUAAUGGUCUAUGGCGACUCGGAUUUAGUGGUCAAUCAGGUGAUGAAAGAAUGGGACGUGAGAAGCCCAGCCAUGACUGGAUACUGCAGUGCAGUGAGGAAGCUGGAGAAAAAGUUCGAGGGGUUGGAGCUCCAUCAUAUACCCCGACUGAAAAAUCAAGCAGCUGAUGAUCUAGCAAAGAUAGGUUCCAAGAGAGAAGCCAUUCCGAGUGGUGUGUUCUUGGAGCAUAUACAUACUCCGUCAGUCAAAGAAGAUCCUUUCACCGAAGAAACUCCGCAGCCCAAGAGUCCCACAGAUCCGACUGAAGUUGAAGUCCCAGCGGUGGUCGACUUGAUCAUGGAGGUUUUGGUAGUCAUUCCCGACUGGACGAUUCCGUAUGUCGCAUAUAUCUUGAGGAAAGAGCUUCCGGAGGAUGAGGAAGAGGCUCGACAGAUCGUCCGUCGAUCUAAGGCCUUUACCGUCAUCAAAGGACAAUUAUACAGAGAGAGCACGACUGGAGUCGGACAGAAGUGCAUAACACCAGAAGAAGGUCGACUCAUCCUCAAUGAUAUUCACUCGGGGACCUGUGGUCAUCAUGCGUCCUCCCGGACCAUCGUGGCCAAAGCAUACCGAGCCGGAUUUUACUGGCCCAAGGCGAAUGAGAUGGCAAAGGAGAUAGUGGAUAAGUGCGAGGGAUGUCAGUUCUACUCGAAUAUAUCGCACAAGCCUGCGUCAGCUUUGAAGACCAUCCCACUCGUCUGGCCUUUUGCAGUUUGGGGGCUGGACAUGAUCGGUCCUUUGAGAACAGGACGAAGUGGCUUCACGCAUGUACUGGUGGCAGUCGACAAGUUCACCAAGUGGAUCGAAGCUAAACCAAUCAAGAGCCUCGACACCGGUACUGCUGUUAGCUUCAUCAGGGAACUAAUAUUCAGAUAUGGAGUCCCGCACAGCAUCAUUACGGAUAAUGGGUCGAACUUUGACUCAGAGGAAUUCAGAACCUUCUGCAACUCCCAGGGCACACGGGUCGACUACGCAUCAGUCGCCCAUCCGCAGUCGAAUGGACAAGCAGAGCGAGCUAAUGGACUGAUUCUCAAGGGACUGAAGCCGCGACUGAUGCGUGAUCUCAAACACGCGGCUGGAGCUUGGGUCGACGAACUUCCAUCUGUACUCUGGGGACUGCGGACCACGCCCAAUCGGUCGACCGGAAGAACUCCAUUCUUCUUGGUCUAUGGAGCCGAAGCAGUCUUGCUGAGUGAUCUUCUCCACAAUGCUCCUCGAGUCGAAAUCUACAACGAAGCAGAAGCUGAACAAGCGCGGCAGGACGCAGUCGACCUUUUAGAGGAAGAAAGGGAGAUGGCUCUGAUCCGGUCGACCAUCUACCAACAAGAUCUGCGCCGUUUCCACGCCCGAAAUGUGAGAGGUCGAGCCUUCCAGGAAGGGGAUUUGGUUCUCCGAGUGGAUCAGCACAAACCACACAAGCUUGCUCCUUCUUGGGAAGGCCCCUUCAUCGUCACCAAGGUUCUCCACAACGGGGCGUACCGUCUUUACAACGUCGAGCAUAAUAUCGACGAGCCCCGAGCUUGGAACGCGGAGCUACUCCGCCCAUUUUACACUUAAGUUUUAUCACUCGGAUGAGUUGCAAUAAAAUACUUCUGUAGUUCAUGGGUUUAGAAAUAAUUGUGUCAUCACUUUUUAUUUUUGCCCACAUAAAAACUCCCCCUCAGUGGGUGACUUAGCCGCGAAUCCGUUUCGCCUAAGUUUGUAAAAAUCCUACCGAGUGGUGAGCCAGACUCCCACUCGGAGGCUUAGCUGCGAAUCCGUUUCGCCUAAGUUAUCAAAAUCCUACCGAGUGGUAAGCCAGGCUUCCACUCGGGGGCUUAGCUGCAGUCCAAGCACUCGCCUAAGUUAUAAAAAUCCUACCGAGUGAAGAGCAAUCCUCUCACUCGGGGGCUUAGCUGCAGCUUCGUGCUCGCCUAAGUUAUAAAAAUCCUACCGAGUGAAGAGCAACCCUCUCACUCGGGGGCUUAGCUGCAGUCCAAGGACUCGCCUAAGUUUUACAAAAUCCUACCGAGUGGUAAGCCAGCCUUCCACUCGGGGGCUUAGCUGCAGCUUCGUGCUCGCCUAAGUUAUCAAAAUCCUACCGAGUGAAGAGCAAUCCUCUCACUCGGAGGCUUAGCUGCAGCUUCGUGCUCGCCUAAGUUUAUCAAAAUCCUACCGAGUGGUAAGCCAGCCUUCCACUCGGNNNNNNNNNNGGUCAAGGUUUGGCUCCAGUCGGCUGGUUUCUUCUUCAAAGUUUUGACAAAAUUCUGCAAGGGUGAUCACUAAGUCAAGGGGAUAGUCGAAUGGAAGAAGCCACAGUUGGAAAUAUUUGCCAAACAUGGAGGUUUACCUUCAAGCAUAAGAAACAGCUUCUUGGCAAGGCCACUCAGGAAGGCCUCCAGUUCAGCUUUCUUCUCAGUCAAUUUGCUGACUUGGUCGGUCAAGGCAGCUUUGUCAGUUCUCAGUCGACUGACUUCCUUGUUGGCAAUCCCAAGAGCAGUUUUUAGAUUGGUAUUAUCUUGUUCGAGCUUGGUGACUGAAGCUAACUUCUCGUCAGCAAGCUUGAUCUUCUCAGCUAGCUCAAGGUCUUUCUUCUGCUGGGCCUCCCUUACCUUACCUGCAAGUUACAGCGAGAUCAGAUGCCGAAACAAGCAAGGGGAAAAGCAGUCGGCAGGGUCUCACCAAACAUACCUUCGGUCUCCUCCUUUGCCUUUGUCAGCUUCUCCUGAACCAGCUUCAAGCUCAGCUCGACUUGAGUAUGUUUUUGUUCCAGCUCUGAGUAGCGAGCCACAAGAUCAUAGGAGUUCUGCGAAGAACCAAUCGACUAAACGUCAAAUGUAACUCACUUCCGAGUGAAAAAGGGAAAAACACACGUUUCUAAGACUACAGCCGAAUACAAGCAUUCGGCCGUAGUCUCGGGGACUACACCCAGUGGGUGCACUCAGCGUGCCCCCACUAAUCCUGUCGAAGACAAAGUCGACCAGUCGACCUCAAAAAAAAAA
rnacentral:lncRNA from 1 species